GGAUAAGCCUGGAGAGCAUCAGUUGUUCGCUAAGUUGAGGAAGUGUAGCUUCUGGCAAAGGAAUGUUGUAUUUUUGGCUGACAUGGUUUUGGAAGCAGAAUUUUGAUGGAUCCAAAGAAGAUUAAUACCGUUUCGGGAAGGUCGAAACCUAAGAGCGCUACAAAGAUCUGCCGUUCUUUUUGGGUUAAUAGUGUACUACUGGAAGUUCAUCAAGGGUUUCCCCGGUAUAGUAAUGUUAAAGACGCGGUCUACAUGUAAAGACGUAAAGUGUGGCUGGAUAGAUUUUGUUCGAGGAGUUUCACUGAAUUGAAGCACAACUAAUGAAGACACCAGUUUUGGGUUCUACUGAGGCUGAGGCUUACUGUGAUGUGUCAGAUACUGGAUUGGAUUUAAAUUAAGGUAUGAGGAUUAAGUCAUUCAUAUGCAUCAUGCCAGAGAGGCUGUAGUGGUAUUUGCGUUAUAGUUUUGGAAAUCAUAAUUGUACGGGAAGGAAGUUUAGAUUCUCUGGGAUUAUUAGAAUGUGAAAUUUAUCUUCAUUUAUUAAAAACUUGUACUUGGACAGUGCAAUUGGAUUGAGUUUGUAGCAAGCUAUAGUUUGGAUAUCACAUACUAUCUGGUAAGGACAACCAGGUGAUAAAUGCCUUGGGUAGGCGUAUGAGCUGUAUCUCAGGAACCAAGAAGGUUCAUGAGUUUACUGGGAGAUUUGCUAGUCUCAGGUUGGGUGCCAUUACUAUCAAUGGAGAGACAGAUGUCCUUGAGGAUUGGAGCAUGCAGUUUUGCUAUGGAGGAUACGCAAGCACAAGUUAGCAUUGGAUUUGGUUGAACAGAUCGAGAUUGAGAGUAUUGGAUAUCAUACAGCUUUGAGCAGGAUAUACUUGUACCGGAACCGAGUUUGUGUGUUGGACGAUAAGUUGUUAAGAAAAAGAAUCUUACAACAAACAUAUCACUCGAGUUUCUCUACCCAUCGGGAACACCAAAGGGUACAAAGAUAUGAAGAGUUAACUAUAAUUGGUGUAGUGUGAAGAUGUUUGUAACUACAUUACGUCGCGGUGCCAGACAUGUUAUCGGGCAAUGACAGAGGAUCAGUUAUCUAUUAUGUUAUUUUUUGAGCUUGUUUUUGCCGGAGUGGAAAUGAGGCAUGGUGAUUAUGGACAUUGUUAUUGGAUUUUAAAUCACCAUAUGUGGAAAGGAUGCCACAUGGGUAGUCAUGGAUAGACUUACAAAGUCAGCCCAUUUCCUAAGUAAUUAAGAAGAUAAUCAGGGCUAAUCAAUUGGAGCAGACCUACAUUAUUGAGUUUGGGAAGUUUCAUGGAUGUCAACAUUGUAUCGGAUUGAGAAUCGAAGUUCACAUCUACAUUUCAGAGAGCCUUUCGGAAGGCACUUGGGACAAAGAUCAUAUGAGUACAUCUUAUCACCCGUUGACAUAUUGUCAGUCAGAGAGGACUAUUCAGACUUUGGAGGAUAUGCUCAGAGCUUGUGUUUUAGAUUGGGAAGGUAGUUGGGUGAAGUAUCUACCUCUAGCCGAGUUUGCCUACAACAACAGCUAUCAUUCGAGUAUUGGGAUGGCACCAUAUGAGGCUCUAUAUGGUAGGCCUUGUCGCACGCCACUUUGUUGGACGGAAGUGGGAGAACAACGUGAGAUAGAACCAGCCAUGGUUCAAGAGACAGUCGAACAGGUCGAGAUGCUCAAGAUGCGGCUUAAGGAAGCCCAUGACCGUCAGAAGAGUUAUGCAGAUAAACGGCGAAGAGAUUUGGAGUUUCAAGUUGGCGACCUAGUAUACCUGAAAAUGAGGACAUUUCAGGGAGGAUCUAAGACUCGGAAGCUAAAGAAGCUUAAACCAAGAUAUAUGGGACCAUAUCCUAUUUUGGAGCGGAUUGGAGCAGUUGCUUACCGACUAAAUUUAUCAGGAGAGUUAUCAGAUUUCCAUGACGUGUUUCAUGUUUCCGUUUUGAGGAAAGUAGUGAGAGAGCCAGAGCUCAUUUUGCAGCAACCACCUAGAAACCUUGGCAAAGGGUUACGUGGGUUGUGCCAGCCAGUAGAGAUAUUGGAUCGCCAAGUGAAAGCAGAUCGUGGAAUGAUGACCAUGUUGAUCAAGGUUCGUUGGGAGGGAGACGGAAUUCAGGAGGAUACCUGGGAGUCCGAGCCCCAAAUGAGGAUUGAUUAUCCAGAGCUGUUUCGGGAUGUCAUUGGAGAGUUUGGAGAUGUGAAUUCGGGGUCGAAUUCCUUGUUAGUGGGGGAGAAUUGUAAUGACCCACCUCCACUAUCCCCACUAUCUCCACCAUCUCCACCAUCCCCACCACUCCCACCAUCUCCACCAUCCCCAACUUCUUUAAAGAGAAAGAGAGAGAGAGGGAGAGAGAGAGAGAGAGAGAAAGAGAGAGAAAGCUCACCUGAGCUCGUCGCCGGAGCAACCGUGUGCCGUGAUCACGUUCAGCUUGCCACCACCGAUAAACGCCCUAGGUAACCGCCGAAAACCGCAUUUCUUAAGCUCAUUUUCGUUUCCGUUUAGUAAAUCACCCAUAACUUCCUAACCAUUGAUCAUCUCGUACAUCCAAGGCCAUCAUCGUGUUCCUCUCGUCGAGACGAAGCCGUAGACACCAACCACGCCUCAAACGGAGCCCGGACGAAGCCGCACGCGCCUCCCGAAGAUUCGCCUCGGCGCGCGCGUGAAACACACGCGCCACCGCCUUCCGCCGGAGCCACCGCGAGUUCCGGCCACGCGCCGCCGUCUCCGACCAACGUUCGCCGGAGCUGCCGUGACCGACCACCGUCCGUCCGCCGCCGAGAAGCCGCCGCCGCGUCGCCGCCUCGCCGCCGUCGCCGCCGUUGAUUUUCCGGUAAGCCGCCGGGGACCGACACCGGUGACUCGCCGGUGACUCGCCAACUCGGCCGAGUCAACCCGGUGAGUCAACUCGGUGACUCGGUCAACCUGUGGUUUGACCGGUUUAAAUCGAUUUCGAUUCGGUUAGGUUAAACCGGUCGGAUAAAAUCAAUUGGAAAUCGGUUAGGGAAAACCGGAUUAAUUAAUUAAUUAAUUAAAUAAUUAAUCUUUGACCAGCGGGUUGACUUUUCCGUAAAUACCCGUUUUAAACCGUUCGAAAGGCGUUCUGACUCGAAAUUUCGAUCUGAUUUCAGAUUUGGAGUCCAUUUGAGCAGCUGGAGUUCAUAGAUAUCUCUUAUUAUUGCUAAGGUGAGGGUCUAUUCCCGAACUCCUCUUAUUCGGCUUAGGACCUCGAAUAAGUAUAAUUUAUUUCUAAUGUGUGAAAUCGAGUCUGUCAUUGCUUGUUUAGUUUUAGGUUCUUUGCAUAAACCGGAACUAGGGGGUUAGAGGAUUCAACAUUGAUUGUUUCACUUAAUGUAAAUUCUUAGCUAGGAUUGUUUUUGUUUGGAGACGGAUACAGAGUCGGACUGCUGUAUGCCGGAUUGUAUGGAGGUCACGGCCAACUUUAGUCGACCGGUUGAGCCGUAGACUGGAAGUGUCGAUAAAUCGUCUACGGGCGUGUGUUACCGAGCACUUUUUCGGUGUGUGUAUGAACCGAGCACCUUUUCGGUAGUGUUUUGGCCUGUUAGUGGGCAGCGAGUGUGCACCUCGCUAGGACCAUUGUUUGUUGUUUGGGUACUUUAGGUACUGUGUUUGACAUGCAUUAUAAUUAAAUUAUAUUUAUUCGGAGUGCUAUGUCCGGGUCCAUGGACUUCGGGGUGGCAUUCCCUACCUCACUGAGCGAUUCCCCUGUCGCUCACCCCUCACUCUUCCCCCUUUCAGGUGAGACAAACAAGUAUGUGAUAUUUGGACGGACUUGGUGCUACUGGACUUUUCUUUCGGAUUUUAUUUGGGCAUGGGUGAGAGUUGUCGGGUUUAUGGGCUUUUAUAUUACGGGAUAUUGUUGGUGGCCCGUCGUCCUUAGUGUCAGGGAGACGGGUGUCACAUUGUUGUAUGAUGACGCGUCGGGGGUGACACGCUGUCCUCCAUAUAGGAGGUGACGGGUGUCACAAUCAUAUCUUUUUCAUUUCAUCUCAUUAAAAGCUACAACCUUUUCUACGUGUAUCCAUCAUCACCAUAUAAAAAAUCUAACAAUAUCUCUGAACGAAAUAGUGACAAUUCAUUAAUAUCCACGCAAAGCAACAAAAUAUCUCAUUUUAUGAAUUUGUAGUUGUCUUUGUCAAAUGUAGAUGAGCAUGAGCAGCCCGCAGUUCCACCACCCGCGGCUCCACCAGUUGAUCAGGAUGCAUUGAGACAGAUGGUUCAGGAUGCCGCUAGACAGGCCGCUCAGGAAGCACUUCAGCAGAUUGCCCAGGAGGCAGCCAGGCAGGCCGCUCAGGAGGCCGCCCGAGUAGCUGCUCAGGAGGUUGCUCGUCAGAUGGCUACCGUUCAGCAUAUGAGCCAUUGGUUGGCAUGUGUUGUUGUGUGUACGAGUAUAUUGACUAUUUUGGAGAUAUAUUUGUUUUGUGAACUCGUGGAGAUCGCUUUUGAAUUGGGGUGCAGCAGCUUGCGUUGUGUGGGUGUUGGAGUUACACUUUGGUAUGUUUACCAAUUUUGGCAGUGUUGAUCGUUUCAGAGAUGUGUCAGUUUGGACAACUGACAUAGGACAUUGGGAGCUAUUUAUAUUCAUCGCAGUGUACCAGUUAUGCUUGGAGGGCCGAUUUGUUCGGAUAUUCAUCAGAGAUGGAGCUACGUUUUUACGACGUUAUCCUUGGGACAGAUUGAUUGUCACGGCAUCAAGUAGUGUUGGAUUGCCUGAGGGCAAGAGUUCCGAUUGCUGGAGCAGAUGGAAGUUGUUAGUGCAUGCAUGCUACAUACUGAGGAGUUAUGGGAUACAAGGACAUAUAGAUUUUUGACUACCAUCUCGAUGGUUAAGGCUGAUGGACAACAUGAGCUGCAGGAUCUUCCGGUUAUUGCAGAGUAUGAGGACAUAUUUGUGACCUUUGGAACGGUCACCACAUGACACAUGAGAAACUCUUGCGAUUUGUUUGGAGCAAACAACACCAGUUUCACAAGUUUUAUACCGAUUAGCACCAACAGAGAUGACAAAGCUGAAAGAGCAUGUUGAAGAUUCAUCAGACAAGGGUUUUAUCAGACCGGGUACUUUACCGUGGGGAACAUCAUCAUUGUUGUUGUAAAGAAGAAAGGUGGGAGUUUCAAUUUUGUAUCGACUGCAAAGGUCUGAACAAAGUGACCAUUAAAGAUAAGUAUCGCUUCCGCGCGUUGAUGAUUUAUUGGAUUAUUUAUAGGAAGUUUAUAGUUCUUGAAGGUUGACAUGGCAUCAGAACACCAUCAGAUUACUAUAUUUGAAGAGUAUCUACUGAAUGUGAAUUUUUGUAUACAUUAUGGAUAUUAUGGGACGCAGUGAUACCAUUUGGCUCGACAAAGGCAUCGUUGCAUUCAUGAAGAUAUGAAUGACGUUUUCGUGAACAUUUGGAUAUGUGUGCGAUUGUAUUCAUCGAUGACAUCCUGAUUUAUUUUGGAGUAGAAAGGAGAUUUGUGAGCAUUUUGCGGAUUGCAUUGGAUAAGCCUGGAGAGCAUCAGUUAUUCGCUAAGUUGAGGAAGUGUAUCUUCUGGCAGAGGAAUGUUGUAUUUUUGGAUAACAUGGUUUUGGAAGCAGAAUUUUGAUGGAUUCAAAGAAGAUUAAUACCGUUUCGGGAAGGUCGAAACCUAAGAGCGCUACAAAGAUCUGCCGUUCUUUUUGGGUUAAUAGUGUACUACUGGAAGUUCAUCAAGGGUUUCACCGGUAUAGUAAUGUUAAAGACGCGGUCUACAUGUAAAGACGUUAAGUGUGGUUGGAUAGAUUUUUGUUCGAGGAGUUUCACUGAAUUGAAGCACAACUAAUGAAGACACCAGUUUUGGGUUCUACUGAGGCUGAGGCUUACUGUGAUGUGUCAGAUACUGGAUUGGAAUUAAAUUAAGGUAUGAGGAUUAAGUCAUUCAUAUGCAUCACGCCAGAGAGGCUGUAGUGGUAUUUGCGUUAUCGUUUUGGAAAUCGUAAUUGUACGGGAAGGAAAUUCAGAUUCUCUGGGAUUAUUAGAAUGUGAAAUUUAUCUUCAUUUAUUAAAAACUUGUACUUGGACAGUGCAGUUGGAUUGAGUUUGUAGCAGGCUAUAGUCUGGAUAUCGCAUACUAUCUGGUAAGGACAACCAGGUGAUAAAUGCCUUGGGUAGGCGUAUGAGCUGUAUCUCAGGAACCAAGAAGGUUCAUGAGUUGGAGAUUUGCUAGUCUCAGGUUGGGUGCCAUUACUAUCAAUGGAGAGACAGAUGUCCUUGGGACUUUGGAGCAUGCAGUUUUGCUAUGGAGGAUACACAAGCACAAGUUAGCAUUCUGGAUUGGUUGAACAGAUCGAGAUUGGGAGUAUUGGAUAUCAUACAGCUUUGAGCAGGAUAUACUUGUACUGAAACCGAGUUUGUGUGUUGGACGAUAAGUUGUUAAGAAAAGGAAUCUUACAACAAACAUAUCACUCGUGUUUCUCUACCCAUCGGGAAGACCAAAGGGUACAAAGAUAUGAAGAGUUAACUAUAAUUGGUGUAGUAUGAAGAUGUUUGUAACUACAUUACGUCGCGGUGCCAGACAUGUUAUAUGGCAAUAACAGAGGAUCAGUCAUCUAUCAUGUUAUUUUUGAGCUUGCUUUUGCUGGAGUAGAAAUGAGGCAUGGUGAUUAUGGACAUUGUUAUUGGAUUUUAAAUCACCAUAUGUGGAAAGGAUGCCACAUGGGUAGUCAUGGAUAGACUUACCAAGUCAGCCCAUUUCCUAAGUAAUUAAGAAGAUAAUCAGGGCUAAUCAAUUGGAGCAGACCUACAUUAUUGAGUUUGGGAAGUUUCAUGGAUGUCAAAAUUGUAUCAGAUUGGGAAUCGAAGUUCACAUCUACAUUUCAGAGAGCCUUUCGGAAGGCACUUGGGACAAAGAUCAUAUGAGUACAUCUUAUCACCCGUUGACAUAUUGUCAGUUAGAGAGGACUACUGAGAACUUAAAUGAUAUGUUCAGAGAUUGCGUGGGAUGGAAUUUCGGAAACCAUCUACCUUUACCAGAGUUUGCCUACAUCGACAAUUAUCUUUCGAGUAAUGAGAUGACACCGUAUGAGGCUAUUUAUAAAAAAAAAAAAAAAAAAAAAAAAAAAAAAAAAAAAAAAAAAAAAAAAAAAAAAAAAAAAAAAAUUAACUAUACAAGGGUUAUUUAUGGUAGACCUUAUAGUAUACCACUUUGUUGGACCAAAGUGGGGGAGCGACAUGAGUUAAAAGUAUUAAUGGUUCAAAAGACGGCUGAGCAAAUGGAAAUGCUCAAUGAUGGGCUUUCGGAAUCCCAUGACGUCAGAAGAUUUAUGCAGCUAAGCGCCAUAAAUAUUUGGAGCUACAUAUGGGCGACUUAAUAUACCUGAAAAUAAGGACAUUUCAAGAGGGGCCUAAGACUCAGAAGAUAAAGGAGCUUAAACCGAGACACAUGGAAUUGUAUCCUGCACUGGAGUGGAUUGGAUUAGUUGCUUGCUAUUACUUUAUCAGCAGUAUAUCAGCCUUCUAGGACUUGGUUCAUAUGACAGCAUUGCAAAAGUUGAGAAGGCGCUAUAAUUAUUUUGCAGUUGACGUCAAGUGAGUUCAUAAAGAUUUUAUGGACCUUAUCAUCUAUUGAAGAUUUUGGAUCAUCAAGAGAAAACAGUUCGGGGAAUGGCGACCGUGUUUGUCCGAGUUCGUUGGGAGGGAGAUAAGACUCAGGAGGAGACCUGAAAGGCCGAGCGAGGAUUAGAAUUCGAGGUUUUGGAGGUUUUUCUAUGAUAACAUUGUGUAUGUCAGCUUAUGACUUAUAAGAAAUGAUUUGAUUAAUGCAUAGUUGCCAGGUGUUAAUCUCAGUCUUGUCCCCAGGUUGUUGUUUAGAUUGAGAGAAAGAGAGAGAGAGAGAGAGAGAGAGAGAGAGAGAGAGAGAGAGAGAGAGAGAGAGAGAGAGAGAGAGAGAGAGAGAGAGAGAGAGAGAGAGAGAGAGAGAGAGAGAGAGAGAGAGAGAGAGAGAGAGAGAGAGAGAGAGAGAGAGAGAGAGAGAGAGAGAGAGAGAGAGAGAGAGAGAUUUACCUGUAUUCUGAGACCGGGAUUGCAUUAGUGUUCUCUACUUGAGUACUUCCGCCAUUGAAGAGUAGCAUGUCUUCUUCCCCUCUAACAUCUAAGGUUUCGCAUAAGCAGAGAGAAUAGAUAGGGUUUGUAAUUGUCGGAUAGAAGCAUCCCUGGAUUGACCGAAGAGGUGGGGAAACUUACUAGAGAGCCAACUUUUCUCAUGCCCCCAUAUGUUUAGCGCAAUCUCAAAUGUCCUACACCCCAUUGCUUUAAUUAAAUAUGAAUAUCCAAUUUUGCCUUUUUGUAUUUUCGAAUUAUUUUUUAAAAAAAUUCAUAUUUUCAAAAUUUCUAAUUUUCAAAUUUGGAAUACUGCAUUAUAUUGAUAUAGUUUUACUGAUUAGUUAUAUAAUAUCGAGUUGUACUUCUGAAUUAGUUAUACUGAGUUCUACUGGUUAUACUAGUUAAACUGAGUUAUACUGGUUAUACUGAGUUAUACUGGUUAUACGGAGUUAUACUUUGUUAUACUGGUUAUACUGAGUUAUACUGACUUAUACUAGUAAUACUAGUGAGUUAGAUAUACCGAGUCAUACUAGUUAUACAACGUUAUACUAGUUAUACUGAGUACUACUGAAUUCUUAUACGAAGAUGAAAUAAAUAAAACACGAUUUAUACUCUGAAAAGGAGAACAAAAACAACAAGAAACCAAAAUCAUAAAAAAAUCAGAUCUAGAGAGAACAACAAGAACUGUAAUCACACAAAAUCCAGAACCUUAUAGUAAAACUUUAUAAAAAAAACACAGAUUUGGAGUGCGAGAAGAAGUAGAUCUGAAGUGCAUAGGUUGAGCCGUUGCUGUUUUGAACAAAUCUAUAGCAUAAGAAGAAGAAGAAUCGCCAUUGAUGUUGUUUCUAUAACCUUCGACAGUUGUUUCAUCACUUACAGCAGAUCCGAUUUGAUAUUAUGUAGAGAAAAAGAGAAAGAAGAUUAAAGAAGAGAUGAAGAACGGGAAAAUUUGCAGAGAAAAGAAAGAGAAGAAGGAAGAAAAGAAGAGAAGAAAGAAGAAAAUGAAAGAAAAAAAAUUGUUGGCGGUUGUGUUUAUUAGAUUAGGUUAGAAAGCAUAAGGGUAAAUCAGUAAAUGUCUUAAUUUAUGAAUUAAAAGAAAAUAAAUUUAUAAAAAAAUAGAUUGGGUCCUCUAGAGAUUUUUUCUAAACAUAUAGGGGUAAUAGAGGAGAUGCUUCUUCGCUGGAGUUGUGCCUGAGUCUGGGUUUGAGAUCAAUAUAUCGAGUGUAAAAGAAUCAAACUCUUUUUUUCUAGAUAUGAAUGAGUGAAAUUUUUUUGUUGAGAUGAAAAAGGACUUGGCAAAAAUAUAAAUUUCCCCAAAAAAAAAAAAAAAAAAAGUUUUCGUGUAAAAACUAAUUUUUCGGUAAGUAUUGGCGGUUUAAAGUGUUACCAAAACAAAAUUGGUUCUAAAAUGGGUUUUUGAUUUCCCGCUUAAUGAAAGUCCUGUAUAGCGUUGAUUUAAUGCUACGAUAGAAUUAGGAUCUGAAUUUUGACACUUUUAGUAGCAGUUGGUGAAUUCGUGUUACCGUGAACUGCUACCAGUACUUAUAUUUCUAGUAGUGGAGCUUCGAUCGCCAUUAGAUCAAAUUUAGUUAGGUUUAGUCUAGGUUUUUGUUCCUUGCAAAAACUGCUAAUUUUUUUUCUUGUAUUUUCAGAUGCAUGCCUAGCAGUACCAGAAGCAACAAGAAACAAACACUGCUCUUUUCAGAUCCUGCAAACUUAGAACGCUCAAUCCGUAGAGAAAAACGCACCACAUCGAUCGACAACAGCACCCGUUCGUCGACCGACACUCGCCUUCCACCGUCGACCGAGAACUCUUCCGUCGACCACCCAUUCCCACCCGACAUCGAUCGACAUUCCACCUCGGACAUCGAUCGAUACUGAGACGCGAGACAUGGUUGCGACUAUAGUUCUAAAUCAGGACGCGACUGGAAACAUGCAUGACUAGGAGGGUCAUCUGCGUAAUGUAGCAGGUCAGAAGAUAGAUGAUCAAGGGGUUAUAAUCCCAGAUACUGAUGCUGAUAAUGCAGCUGCUAAAGCUGUAGACAAGGGGUCUGGACCGAGGACAUUAGCUGAUUACAACAGGCCAGAUCAGUACUACAAGAACAGAUCUGCCGUCCGUCCUCCAGCCAUUCAGAGGUAAGACUUUGAGUUGAAAUCUCAGUAUUUUACACUUGUGGGACAUACACCCUAUUGUGGGUUAUCACACAAGCAUCCUAUUGACUAUCUGGAAAGGUUCAAGGAUCUAGUUUCUGCUAGUAAAGCCAAUGGAGUCCCUGAGGACUAUCUCUUUUGCAAGCUCUUCAAGUACUCACUUGCUGGAGAGGCUUUGCACUGGCUUAAGCAACUACAGCCAGGAUCUCUUACAUCCUGGGCUGACAACAAGAACACAUUCUUAUGUAACUUCUUUGAUGAGGCCAGCGCUGAAGACUUGAGAAGUAAGAUUGUUACAUUCACACAAGAGCCCACAGAGUCAUUCAGAAGCUCCUGGAUCAGAUUCAAGUCAUAUCAGAGAGACUGUCCACACCAUGGAUUCAAUGAAGUGCAACUGCUCAGCAUUUUUUUCAGAGGCAUCGCGCUGGCAUAUCAUAUGGAUCUAGACUCAGCUAGUGAUGGAAACUUCAACACUAGGCAUCCAGCAACAGCACCAAGAACACUGAUUUCGAAAGGAAAAAAUUGACCACUGCCCUAGGAAAUGAGCAGCUGGACGAUGUUAAGGCUAAGCUGGAUAGUGUGUACAAGCUUCUCAAGAAGCAACUCAGUUUUGCAUAAGAUGUAGAGACUGCAGAUGUCGACAGUGACAUAGAUGUAGAGAAGGAUGGGAACUUCGUUAGUGAUUCAGGCUUUCACAAUCAGAGGUCUGGAAAUCAGAGUGGAUACAGAAACUCGUUUGGCAAUGGACAGAAGAGUGGAUACAACCAGAGUUCACAGUACCAGAAACCCUUCAGCAGCAACAUAUCUUAUGGAAAUUCUUUCUACCAGAAUCAACAAUCACAGACUCGAGAGAGCAAUAUAGAAUCCAUGAUUGAUCAAGUUCUUGAGGGUCAGCAGAAGUUGAUGGUGAACUUCAAUGGAAAGAUAGAUGCUGUCUUCACAGAGCUGAACUCAAAGUUUGAGUCUUUGAACAACCAUGUGAGGAAGUUGGAGAAACAUGUAGUUCAGACAUGAGAGACGGUUAAGAGGCAGGAGGCCUUCAUCAAGGGUAAAGGUGAUGAAUCACUGAAGCACCACGUGAGUGCCAAACAGCCAUCAUAGAUGAUGAUUUCUGGCAAGUGGUAAAGGAGGAGAAGCUUAAGAAAGGAGACUUACAAGUCGAAAGCUCCAUGACCUUCGACAGAUCACACUGGUGUCGACCAACGCCAAGAGAUGAAUAUCGACCGAUGGAGACAUAUGAGAAUCGAUCGAUAUCACCUAAUCCACAUCGAUUGACAGAGGAGGUUGCAUCAUGCACGACAUUAAGGAUUCUAACUCACGAGGAGUUCGCAGCUGAACACCCUCAUCCACCCAAACCCUUCCGCAUCAAGAAGUCGGACAUCGAUCGGCACCAUAAGCCAGCUACCGAUCGAUGGACAUACUCCACUGACGAUCAACACGACCCAACCAGUGUCGAUUGACGACCACCUCUGACCUACCGAGUGCAGCUACCAAAGAUAGAUGUAGCAUGCCUGUAUGUUAUCUGCAACCCAUCUCAACCCUCAAAACACAUUGCAGACAACUUCAGUCAACAUUCUGAGGAUGCACCAGAGUCUAUGCACGUUGAUCAGACUUCUGAGAGGAGAACCUUGAGGAGAAGGAAGGAAAAGGUUCCCAAGCAUCAAAAGAGAGGAGUUAAUGAGAAGGAGAUGGAGAUGGAUAGCUUCACCAAAAGAGUCCUCAUGAUACCUUUGGACAAGCCGUUUGAGGAGACUUACUUCACCCACAGAUUGUGGAUGUUCUUUAGAGAGACCAAGGAAACUGAAGAAAACAUACAUAUGAUCUUCAAUCAGAUCAGAGAGAAGAUGAAGCAGAGGAUUACACUGAAGAAGAAGAUCGAUCCAGUGCCAUGUUUAGUGAAAGGCAUUGAGUUUCCAUGUGUGCUGUGUGACACAGGUUCUUCAGUCAGCAUACUACCCAAGGUAAUGGCAAACCAUCUGGGUCUGAUGAUAGUGCCUUCGGAGGAUUCAUUCACUUUUGUGGAUCAUUCUACGAGGAACUCAAGAGGAAUUAUCAGAGACCUUGAGGUGCAGAUUGACAAUGCACUAGUUCCAGUUGACUUCCAUGUCCUGGAAACUAAGCAGAACAAGAAUCAUUCUCUACUACUUGAGAGAGCCUUCAUGGCUACUGUAGGAGCAGUUUGCAACAUGCAGACUAAUCAUCUGUGUCUAACACUGAUAAAUCCUGAUGUAUACAAUGAUCCAGUCAGAAUUGUGAAUCCACAGACGUCCAACACUAGAGUUAACACGGUAUUCAUAGCAGCAUGCCAAUGCAAUUUUGAGGAUGAAUAUGAGACAGAGUAUUCAGGAUCGAUCGAUAGCAGGACUCUACCAUCGAUCGACAUUGUAAUUCGUCCAUCGAUCGACAACCAGUCCAGAGAAUCGACCGACAACAGUCAUGUGAAUAAGAUUUUCGCUUUGCCAGAACGCUGCUAUCCGAGCUUUGCAGUUAGUACCCACCCACAAACAUCGAUUGAUUACCAUCACAGUGACACGAUCAGCAGACAAGGUGACUAUUGUAUUGGCAGUUAGGCAGAUAUGAGCCAUCAUGAGAGCUUUGCAGUAAACACUGCACUACCUGAGAUGCAAUCUGAUGAGUAUGACGAGGACUACCACAAAGAGAAGAACAUUGAGUACAUUGGUCUUGCCAUGGAUGAUAGAGGACUUCUCCAUACAUCGCUUGCAUUUGCAAUGUCAACAUCGAUCGACAGCGACAUCAUGCCAUCGAUCGAUGCUCAUCACACACCAGAUUCUGAAUUACAUGCUAAAGAUAAUGCCUAUUAUGGUUAUCUAACUCUGGAUGAAUUUGGUAUUUUCAGGGAUCCAGAAGGCCAAGCACGAGCUAUGGAUGGACACACUCUCAACAUAUCCAAGGAGGACAUAGCUGAAAUUAUUACCAUGAAUGGGUCUAGAAACUUUUUGGACACGCGGACUAGAGUUGAGGAUCCACCAUCGAUUGACAGUCAGUCUGAAUUCAGAAGAGCACUUCAUCAGAACAGGAAAAGGAAACCUCGCUGGGAGUACACAAAGACACCCACACCUACCGUGGCUGACGAAGCCAGUUACAGCAAAGCAGAAAUUGAUGAGAUGGUAGUAGAGAUCUACAGAGCUAUACAGACUUCAGAUGACGUCUACUACCCAUUCGAUAACAGUAUCAGCUGGUUGAACACACACAUAGAUGAGAUGAAGCAAGACAUAGCCAUGAUUCAAAAACCACAUGCAGUCGGCGCACGAAGAUCAAAAUUGAUUGGCGCUAACGCUCAAACAUCGAUCGACGCCAACAUCUAAACAUCGAUCGAUGCUCGACUUGCAUCAUUCAAAGAUAGGCUUCAAUCAUUCACCUACAGGCUUGAUGGUGUCUACUACCCGCUCCGUGACGAUAUUGAUUCAUCGACCACACACAUGAAUGCGUUGCAGCAGGCGAUAGACACUAUUAAGAGACAGCUAGACUUUCAAGCAUAACCGUUACCAUUGAUCGACAGACGGACACGCCCAUUGAUUGACAGACAAACACGCCCAUCGAUCGACAACGACUAUACCAGAUUACGAAGCAAGCUGGUAACCGAAUAGGACUUACAUGAUAUGCUUGAUGAGAUCACUUUCUCUCAAGACUUGCUGAAAGAAGAUGUCUACUUGGAGUAGAAAGACAUCUCAGAAUCUACACAUGCCAGAAUUGGAAUGCAACAGAGCAACAUUGAAAAUCUUCAGCAUAUGAUGAAUGCAAGUGAGGUUGCUAGAGAAAGAUUAAAGAAUCAGUGGACCAGGCGAUAUGAGGCCAUAAGAAGCUUCAUUGGCACUUGGUUUCAGAUGAGCAAAGAUGAAGUGGACACUUGCAUACAACCAAGUGGUCAAUUUGAUCAUUACUAGCCAAAAACAACCUCCAAAGUGAAGCUAAAUGACUAUAACAAAGCGCUGAGUGGGAGGAAACUCACUAUUAGGUAUUUUCUUUAAAGUUUUAGUGUUUACAGUUAUUUACUUUUGUUUUAAAUUAUAUUGCAGGUCAUAAAAAAAUUAAAAAAAAUCGUGAAACCCAAAAAAAGACCCAAGGAGCUGUUACAUGUCAUCGAUCGAUGAGAUCCAGUCGGAAUCGUUCGACAGCACAACACCAGAAACGAUCGAUAGACACUUCCCUGUGUCGAUCGACAUCGGCAUCAUCGAUCAGGUAUAUUGUACUCCUUGUUACACAUUGUCCUUAUGAUAUUUGUUUCAAUCAAACUCCGACCAGAUAUACACUAGGGACAGUGUAAUUUAAGUCUGAGGGGAGGUUUACUAAUGUUAAGUUUACCUAUGAGUUUUAUAAAAAAUUCAAAAAAGUUUUUACUGAGUCAAAAAGGGGACAAUGAACUUUUACAAUUUUUCUUACUUAUCUAACCACUCUUUAGCACCAUUCUUAGAUUUAUUGACUACAGAUUGUACUAUAGAUGCCAAAGUGGAUCAUCCUGCCAGUUAUUCACACUUGCUCAUAAUGUUUGAAAGAACCAAGCUGACCUCCAACCUAAUUGAGCUUAACUUGCUUGUCUUGGGGCUUGGUAUACAAUGGAUCAGAAUCCUCCUGCAAGUGUAGAAGGUAUUAGACUUAGUGUCCCUAGUUUUCCUUCCACCUCUCUUUGGCAUCCAUUUAUAUUUACAAAAAGAUUGAAAUGAUUUCUUGCGGUGUAGAGGGGUAGGAGUGUCUCUUGCGAUCCAAUUAUUCUACUCUAAUAGAAUGAUCACACAUUUUUUGGGAGCGAGGGGUAGAUACAUUAUCGAUGACUAUACUAUUCUCCUACAACUUUGCCCAGUAAAAAAAUAAAAUAAAAUAAAUCGGAUUUAGAGAAGAGAGAAGAGACAAGAGAGAAGGGGAACCAAAAAAAAUGUUACAUGUAGUUCCAGAUACUUGUUUGAGUUGAUUCCAUGUGUUUAGUGAUCGAUACUCCCAAGGUCAAGCCUACACCUUUGUUAUUUAUAUGAAUGAAAUGAGGUCAGUAGAGGGGUUAGUCAGACAUGAUUAGUUAAGUUGUUGGAUGAAUGGAAUUGGUUACUAAACUAAGAUAUUGCAUAGAGAGUACUUCUGAGUUAUGAUUGAUUUAAUGUAGUUUGCAAUAUUGCCGAGGUGAUGAUAGUAAGUUCUUAAAUUGUGUGAGCCCCUGCUGUUUUCAAACCAUUUCAGAGAGACUGCUUGUUGUUUUGCUUGAGGACAAAAAAAAAGAGUAAGUCUAGGGAUGUUAAUAUACCAUGGAUUUUAUCCAUUUUCAGCCAUGGUAUAUAGGUGUUUUUAAAUAUAUUAUAGUUGUUUUGGAGUCUUUUCAGUAUUUUUCAGGUUUUGGAAGGAUUUGGAUGAAAGUGGUGAUUUUAGUGCAAUUUGGAGAUAAAAUGAUAAAGACCCGUAGCUGACCAUCGACCAGCCUAGCGAUCGAUGAUCGGAGAUGAUAAUUGAUCAACACAUACUUUGUUAUCUCGAUCGACGGUGAAGCGCGCAGAGGUCAGAUUGGUUCCAGUCGACUUUAAGCCCAAGUCCCACAAAAAUUACCAGAUUACCCCUAGCGAGUUUUAACCUAAUAUUUAUGUGUUUUGCCAUUAUUUUAGGCAACACACGCUUUCUUAAAAAAAAAUUUUUUCGCUUUCUUACUUUCAUACAGAAAAAUACUUAAUGGGGGUUAUUGGUUCUGAUAGUUUAGUGGAUUUAUAAAUUUUCCUUAUAUUUAGAAAUCUUCCAUAAAUCUAGUGAUUUUCAAAUCAAAUAAAUAGAUUUGAGAAUUAUUGAUAUGAGUAUUUUAAAAUUAAAUAAAUGAGAAUUGUUAUAAAUCAAUGGAUUUGUAACUAGACCUAAAUAAAACACUACAAGAGAACAUUAUGUUCUCCGACUGCAACUUCUAAAAACAUGGAUUUUCAGAACUAACUUUUCACGGCAUCUCCUCAGAUAUUUCAGAUCAAACUAUUUUUUCACCAUGUUAUCAGAAGUUUGAUCAGAUCAAAAGUAAAAAUUUCAGACAAAACAGAUUUACUUGUCAUCUUUUUAGAAAUCUCAUCGGAGUAUUCUCGGAACUUAUCGACGACUUCAACUUCUCCACCAUUCAUCAUCUUUCUUGCCUCUUUUUCAUUUUGCUAAGCAUCAAAAGCUGGUCGCAGACAAUUGGUGGGGAUACGUUCAUAUGGAAUACAUCUCUCGUUACAUCUAUUUUUCAUUAUCUUAUGCAUUAUACAAUCUGGUUGUAUGGACAUGUGCUUAGUGCAUGUUUUUAACAUGAGCAAAAAACAAUGUAUAAAAUUUGAAGUAAUGCAUCAACUGAUGUUUGUUGGGACACAAAACUAUAAAGAAUGAAAAAAAAAACAAUAUAAAACAAAUCCAACCAAAAUAACAAGGUUAAACCCAAUAUUUGAUCCUUUGUAUUUUACUCUUAAAAAUAGUUACAAAUCCAAUCAAAUCCAGUUUCAAAUUAAAUCCAUACACAAAUAUUUAUUAUUGAAUAACGCAUGAUUCUAAAAUUUAUUUUAAAAUCAUAAAACCAAUAACUAUGGAUUUGAAUGUGAAUUUUAAAAUAAUAAAACCAAUAACACUACAUUUAGUUUGGAUUUACUUCAGAGAAACUACUUGUUGUUUUGCUUGAGGACAAGAAAAAUAGUAAGUCUAGGAUGUUAAUAUACCAUGGAUUUUACCCAUUUUCAGCCAUGAUAUGUAGGUGUUUUUAAAUAUAUUAUAGUUGUUUUGGAGUCUUUUCAGUAUGUUUUAAGGUUUUGGAGGAAAAUGGUGAUUUUAGUGCAUUUUGGAGAUAAAAUGAUAAAGACCCGUAGCUGACAUGACCAGCCAAGCGAUCGAUGAUCAGAGAUGAUAAUUGAUCAACACAUACUCUGUGUUGUCGAUCGACGGUGAAGCGCGCAGAUGUCAGAUUGGUUCCAGUCUACUUUAAGCCCAAGUCCCACAAGAAUUACCAGAUUACUCCUAGCGAGUUUUAACCUAAUAUUUAUGUGUUUUGCCAUUGUUUUAGGCAACACACGCUUUCUUACUUUCAUACAGAAAAAUACUUAGAGUCUUUGGUUUGGAGAGAAGAUCCAAGAAUUCCUUCAGAGAUUUGUGAUUAGAACUCCAGUUUUCUACUCUAUUCUAUUGAUUCAGUUUUCAUAUCUUUUUUUUUGAUGAAUUGCUUAGCGAUGUAUGAGUUCUAGAAUAGAUUGUCUAAAAAAUACAGAAGUUGAUCGACUAUUCUUAUUGUUUGAGUUCUAGAAUAUCCAUUAUAUGCUUAUUAUCUAUAUCUCUAUAAUCUUAAUUGUUCACAACCCUGUUAUUUACAUUUAAAACAAGUUUGCCUACCUUAAGCACAUAACUAGUUGAUCUAUUGUGUGCCUUAGCUCCCCGUGAAUUUUAUCCCUAAGUACUGCAACUCGACCUCUUAUUUGAGAGAGUACAAAUCACUAAUUGGGUUAUUUGAGUGAUAUCAAAAAGCCCACUUAUGAUUUUUUUUAGAAUCGGCCCAAAGUCACCAUGACGGUUUAUCGAGUAUUCGCGAAAGAAGAUAAAUGUCAAGUUCGAACAUAAAUGUCAAGUUUCAAGGGAUAAUCAUGAAGAUCGAGAAAAAAAGAAUAUUUCCGCGAGGAGAUAAACUCGAAUCAAGGGCAGAAAAGGAAGGACAGCCGACCUUGGAGGCAUAUAUAAGGGUAGCCAAGGCAAGAAGCAGAGACACAAUUCUAUUUAUUCUUAGAGUUUUCUGCACUUAGAAAUUUUAGGCAUUAUUCUCGACAUGUCUUGUUUCUAUGACUGGCACUCGAUUACUAGAAUAACUCACACAUGCAGUUCGAUCUCUUGUUCCAAUCUUUCAAUUUAACUACUUUCUGCUUGAUCCUUGAAAGGGGUACGUAGGCAGCCUUUCAUAAGGUUCAGUCUGAAAAUAAAUAAAACCUUUUUGGUAUUUUUUUUGUUGUGAUCAAGCUGCGACGCAACUAGGUUUAAUGUUUUUGGUGGCUAGAGUUAGAGAAUUCGCUGACAGCUCUUGCCAAAUCUUUUAUAAUCUUUUGUAAUAAUUGCAACGCUCUUACGCUGAUUCGAAAUAAAGAUCUACUUUCUCUAUAAAUUUGUUUUGUUAUCUUUUCAUAUUUUUCGCAUUUAUUUUGUCACUUGUCGUUGGCUCUCGCAGAGAAACAGGGACCUUAGAGAAAGUUAGGGUUUCCUGGCUUUCCUCCAAUUACGGAAAUUGACGGUGUGAAUUUCGGUUCCCACACUAGUUUGCUAUUCUAUAACACAAUCAAUGAAGGAUCCUAAUUAAAUCUCCCUAUGUUAUCAAUAAUUCAUCAAAACCCUAAAUCUAACAAGNNNNNNNNNNNNNNNNNNNNNNNNNNNNNNNNNNNNNNNNNNNNNNNNNNNNNNNNNNNNNNNNNNNNNNNNNNNNNNNNNNNNNNNNNNNNNNNNNNNNAUCUUCAUAAUGUAACAUUACCACUUUAUAAAAAAAAAGAAAAAAAAAACAUAAAUAUAACUAUUUGACUAUUUGUCCAAGUUCUUCUAUUAAACAUAGCCGUUUUACAUUAAAAAUGGAAAAAUACGUAAAUAUUUAAACAUCUAUCUUAAAAUAUAAAAUAUAGACAUUAACUAAAUAUAAAGUAUAAGAAAGAGAAAUACUCAAUAUGUAAAAAAAUAAAUAAUAAGUAAAUAUUAUAAAUAUACGAAUUAUAUAUACAAUAAUAAGUAAAUGCACAAUUUUUAAGAAAAUGGAAAGAGUACAUUAAAUAUUAAACAUCUAUUUUAAAAUGUAAAAUAUAGAUAUUAAGUAAAUAGAAAGUAUAAGAAAAAGAAAUACACAACUUAAAAACAAUGGAAAAAGUAUAUUAAAAUUUAAACAUCUAUCUUAAAAUGUAAAAUAUAGAUAUUAUGCAAAUAGAAAGUAUAAGAAAAGGAAAUACACAAUUUAAAAAAAUGGAAAAAGUACAUUGGUAUUUAAACAUCUAUCUUAAAAUGUAAAUCAAUCUUAAAAUAUAAAAUUAUUAGUAAAUAGAAAGUAUAAGAAAUAGAAAUACACAAUAUAAAGAAAAAUAAAUAAUAAGUAAAUAUAUAAUAUAAUCCCGAAAGAUGACACGUGACAUAAAAUAUAGUUUUACAUUUUAAUAUUACUUAUUUUCGAAAAUUAUAAAAAAUAUGUAAACAUACAGCAUAAAAAAUGGAAAAACUACAUUAAACAUAUGUAAGAUUACUAUUUUUCACUUCAAAAAAAAAGACGGUCUAUCUCCAUAAUGUAACAUUACCGUUUUAUAAAAAAAACAAAAAACAUUAUAUAUAAUUUCGAAAAUAAUAAAUAUAUGUAAAACAUACAACAUAAAAAUGGAAAUACUACAUUAAACAUAUGUAAGAUUAACAUUUUACAUUUUUAAUUUAAGAAAAUAAUAUGUAAACAUACAACAUAAAAAAUGGAAACACUACAUUAAACAUAUGUAAGAUUACAAUUUUUCACUAAACAAAAAAGACGGCUUAUCUCCAUAAUGUAACAUUACCAUUUUGUAAAAAACAAAUUAUAUAUAAUUUCGAAAAUAAUAAAUAAUAUGUAAACAUGCAACAUAAAAAAUGGAAAUACUACAUUAAACAUAUGUAAAAUUACCAUUUUACAUUUAAAAAUAACAAUAAUAUGUAAACAUACAAUAUAAAAAAAUGGAAAAAGUACAUUAAACAUAUGUAAGAUUACCAUUGUUCACUAAAAAAACGGUUUAUCUUCAUAAUGUAACAUUACCAUUUUAUAAAAAAAAAAAAAAAACAUAAAUAUAACUAUUUGACUAUUUGUCCAAGUUCUUCUAUUAAACAUUGCCGUUUUACAUUAAAAAUGGAAAAAUACGUAAAGAUUUAAACAUCUAUCUUAAAAUAUAAAAUAUAGACAUUAACUCAAUAUAAAGUAUAAGAAAGAGAAAUACUCAAUAUAUAAAAAAUAAAUAAUAAGUAAAUAUUCUAAAUAUAUAAAUAUAAGAAUUAUAUAUACAAUAAUAAGUAAAUGCACAAUUUUUAAAAAAUGGAAAGAGUACAUUAAAUAUUAAACAUCUAUCUUAAAAUGUAAAAUAUAGAUAUUAAAUAAAUAGAAAAUAUAAGAAAAAGAAAUACACAACUUAAAAACAAUGGAAAAAGUAUAUUAAGAUUUAAACAUCUAUCUUAAAAUGUAAAAUAUAGAUAUUACGCAAAUAGAAAGUAUAAGAAAAGGAAAUACACAAUUUAAAAAAAUGGAAAAAGUACAUUAAUAUUUAAACAUCUAUCUUAAAAUGUAAAUCAAUGUUAAAAUAUAAAAUUAUUAGUAAAUAGAAAGUAUAAGAAAUAGAAAUACACAAUAUAAAGAAAAAUAAAUAAUAAGUAAAUAUAUAAUAUAAUCUCGAAAGAUGACACGUGGCAUAAAAUAUAGUUUUACAUUUUAAUUUUAUUAUUUUCGAAAAUUAUAAAAAAUAUGUAAACAUACAGCAUAAAAAAAUGGAAAAACUACAUUAAACAUAUGUAAGAUUACUAUUUUUAACUUUAAAAAAAAAAGACGGCUUAUCUCCAUAAUAUAACAUUACCGUUUUAUAAAAAAACAAAAAACAUUAUAUAUAAUUUCGAAAAUAAUAAAUAUAUGUAAAACAUACAACAUAAAAAUAGAAAUACUACAUUAAACAUAUGUAAGAUUACCAUUUUACAUUUUUAUUUUAAGAAAAUAAUAUGUAAACAUACAACGUAAAAAAUGGAAAAACUACAUUAAACAUAUGUAAGAUUACCAUUUUUCACUAAAAAAAAAGACGGCUUAUCUCCAUAAUGUAACAUAACUAUUUUGUAAAAAACAAAUUAUAUAUAAUUUCUAAAAUAAUAAAUAAUAUGUAAACAUACAACAUAAAAAAUGGAAAUACUACAUUAAACAUAUGCAAAAUUACCAUUUUACAUUUAAAAAUAACAAUAAUAUGUAAACAUACAACAUAAAAAUGGAAAAACUACAUUAAACAUAUGUAAGAUUACCAUUGUUCACUAAAAAAAACGGGUUAUCUUCAUAAUGUAAAAUUACCAUUUUAUAAAAAAAAAAGAAAAAAAAACAUAAAUAUAACUAUUUGACUAUUUGUCCAAGUUCUUCUAUUAAACAUUGCCGUUUUACAUUAAAAAUGGAAAAAUACGUAAAGAUUUAAACAUCUAUCUUAAAAUAUAAAAUAUAGACAUUAACUCAAUAUAAAGUAUAAGAAAUGUAAAGAUUUAAACAUAUAUCUUAAAAUAUAAAAUAUAGACAUUAACUAAAUAUAAAGUAUAAGAAAGAGAAAUACUAAAUAUAUAGAAAAAUAAACAAUAAGUAAAUAUUAUAAAUAUAUAAAUAUACGAAUUAUAUAUACAAUAAUAAGUAAAUGCACAAUUUUUAAGAAAUGGAAAUAGUACAUUAAAUAUUAAACAUCUAUCUUAAAAUUAAAAUAUAGAUAUUAAGUAAGUAUAAAGUAUAAGAAAAUGAAAUACUCAAUUUUAAAAAAAUGGAAAAAGUACAUUAGUAUUUAAACAUCUAUCUUAAAAUGUAAAUAAAUCUUAAAAUAUAAAAUUAUUAGUAAAUAGAAAGUAUAAGAAAUAGAAAUACACAAUAUAAAGAAAAAUAAAUAAUAAGUAAAUAUAUAAUAUAAUCCCGAAAGAUGACACGUGGCAUAAAAUAUAGUUUUACAUUUUAAUUUUAUUAUUUUCGAAAAUUAUAAAAAAUAUGUAAACAUACAGCAUAAAAAAAUGGAAAAACUACAUUAAACAUAUGUAAGAUUACUAUUUUUAACUUUAAAAAAAAAAGACGGCUUAUCUCCAUAAUGUAACAUUACCGUUUUAUAAAAAAAAAACAAAAAACAUUAUAUAUAAUUUCGAAAAUAAUAAAUAUAUGUAAAACAUACAACAUAAAAAUGGAAAUACUACAUUGAACAUAUGUAAGAUUACUAUUUUACAUUUAAAAAUAACAAUAAUAUGUAAACAUACAACAUAAAAAAAUGGAAAAUUUACAUUAAACAUAUGUAAGAUUACCAUUGUUCACUAAAAAACGGUUUAUCUUCAUAAUGUAACAUUACCACUUUAUAAAAAAAAAGAAAAAAAAAACAUAAAUAUAACUAUUUGACUAUUUGUCCAAGUUCUUCUAUUAAACAUUGCCGUUUUACAUUAAAAAUGGAAAAAUAUGUAAAGAUUUAAACAUAUAUCUUAAAAUAUAAAAUAUAGACAUUAACUAAAUAUAAAGUAUAAGAAAGAGAAAUACUAAAUAUAUAGAAAAAUAAACAAUAAGUAAAUAUUAUAAAUAUAUAAAUAUACGAAUUAUAUAUACAAUAAUAAGUAAAUGCACAAUUUUUAAGAAAUGGAAAUAGUACAUUAAAUAUUAAACAUCUAUCUUAAAAUUAAAAUAUAGAUAUUAAGUAAGUAUAAAGUAUAAGAAAAUGAAAUACUCAAUUUUAAAAAAAUGGAAAAAGUACAUUAGUAUUUAAACAUCUAUCUUAAAAUGUAAAUAAAUCUUAAAAUAUAAAAUUAUUAGUAAAUAGAAAGUAUAAGAAAUAGAAAUACACAAUAUAAAGAAAAGUAAAUAAUAAGUAAAUAUAUAAUAUAAGUAAAUACCAAAUUUUAAAAAUGGGAAAUUACAUUAAGAUUAAAUAUAUUAUGCUUUAAAAUAACUUAAAUUAAAUAAUAAUAAUAUUAUGCUUAAAAUAUAAUUUUAGAGAGUUUUCAAAUAUAGUUUACAGAACAUUAUAGGUGAUGAAUUUAAUUUAUUAAAUUCGUUUAUUACUUAAAACUAAGUUUUUUUAAAAACAUACUGAGUUAUAAAUAUCAAUGAUGGAUUGGUGAGUAUAACAUGAAGACAAAAAAUAUAAAUAUCUGAUUUCAAGAUAAGAAAUUCAGCUUUUAUUUAGAUACUCAAUAUAUAAUAUCUUAAUUUUUUUUUUUUUUAAAUAUACAUAAUUUAUAUAUAUAUAUUAAUCUUCCAAACUUAAACUAUUAUAUUAUAUAUGAAUAAUGUUUUUAAAUAAAAAUAAUUUCUGAUUUAAAAUAAAAAUAAAAACAUAAAAAUGGUUAUUUUCAAAUAAUGGAUGUAAUUUACAUUAUACUAUCAUUUAACAAGUAUUAGAUACGUUUUGAUAUAUCAUUAUUUUCUAUUUCCAGAAAAUAAUAAAUUAUUAAACAUCAAUAUCAUCUAAGUUAAGUAUACGAACAACACAAAUUCAAACAUCACAAAAAAUAUUUACAUAACCAUUAUAAUACAAUAAUUUAAUCAAAAAAUACAAUUAAAAAAAUAUUAAAAAGAAUAGUUAUAUACUUAAUAUUUGAAAAUAAAAGAUAUUUUUGCUAAAAUUGUACUUACCUGGCCAAGGAGAUCGACCAUCUUUUUACGGAUCGAUCGAAUGUUGAGCAUGUAGUCGAUCCGAAAAUACACUGCAGUUUAAUAAAAUCUCUAAAACAUUUAUUCCAACACUCAAAAGAUAGUUUUGCUAAAUAUGAUAACUAGAUAGCCAAUAAAAUUACAAAAAAAUAUUUAAAUAGUAAAAAAUAUGUUAAUUUAACGUGUUAAAAUUUAAAAAUAAAUUUUAAUUAUGACAUGCAUUUAACAUUUAUAUAAAUACAUAUCAUAGCCUAAAUAUAAAUAAUUUAACAACUUAAAUUAGAAAAAAUAAAAAUCCCGGGCGUAGCCCGGGUUAAUCCCUAGUGAUUUUAUACAAUAAUGUUUGCAAACUAAAUAAACUAAGAUUAAGAACAAUAUAUUUAGUGCAUUCAUGAGAUCGUUAAAUAAAAUUAGACAUAGUUUAGUGCAUAUGAUUAGCACCAACACUAACCUAACAACCUCUUGUUCCCCAUUUUCUCUCAUUUUCCUAAUUUAUACAGUCCACCCCACUAAUCAUCUUGAAAAAGCAUAAUUAUUCUGCUAUGCACAAAACAAAACAAAAUUUAUUUUCUACACAAUGAAAAUCCUUAAUGGGCUUAUUUGCUAAAUAACCAAAAUAAAAAUGGAAAUUAGAUUUGUAGAAAGAAGGUGGAGAGAGAUAGGAAGAGAAAGUAGGAGAGAGAGAGGAUGGUUUUGGGUAGUUAGUGAAUUUUUGUUUUUUUUCUUGGUUAGUAGGUCUAAUUUCUCAUUAAAUUAUGGGCCAUACAUCACCGAAUCGAACCUGUCAGGCUCUUAUAACAAGCCCAUUUAAUAAGCCCACAAAUAAACUAUUCUUCCAUAUUGCAGAAACAUUUUUUAGAUGUAAAAUUUUAAGAUGAGACAACGACAACGACAGAACAGAAUGCACAUAAACACAUAGUAACACCACCAUUCAAUAGAUAAACAACAACACCCCCAUGAAAAUUGCCAAAACCAAACAAAGAAACUCAUGUUUUGUAUGAUAAUGCUCUUGUCCCUUUCCAAAUGAUAUGAAACUCCCGAUUUAAGACCCCAAAAAAAAAACAAUGAUAAUGCUUAUACCACCACUUUUUCUUCGCAGACGCAAAUGCCAUGUUGCUCUCCUUUCUCCUCACACUCAUCUCUCCUGUUACAGUCACAUCAACAUCAAGAUUUAAUCCUAAAUCAAUAGCCAAGAAGACAGUCACACCGACAUGAAAACAAUCUCAAAAGUACAACAGACCACUUACUUUCAAAUGAUUAUGGAGUUGUAAGCGCUGCAGAGCUGAAGCAAAGCUGCCUGGUUUGCUUUUUCGAGAUUCUCACCAAUUAACUGAGGGUAUCUACCAGGAGAAGCAGCAGAAAGCCUGGCCAAAGAAGCAACCACGAACUGCUUCGGAUCUCUAAUGUCUGGAAGAGGAUCCGCUUCUCUUCUCCCAGCAUUGUGAAGACUCACAAACGCAGCUGUGUAUCCAACAUUCUCCAAGACGUCUGGCAUUUCAGGUUCUUCAACGGCUCUUUCCUGCUCAGGCCUUGAAACAAGCGUCACUAUACUGUCCAGCAUAGCUCCCCAGAUCUUAGAAGCUGCUGGAUGAAGAAGGUCUGGAGUCUCACAUAUGAGUCUCGUUGCGGCAACUGCAGCUAGCUUUACCUCGACACUUCCCAUGAUCAGCUUAACGUUUGGAAUCCAGAAUUGCUGCACGAUGGUGGUGAAAAUGUUGGGCUGAACAGUAUUCAUAGUGGCGACAAGAUGAGCAUGUCCGUGCUUCACCAAAAAGAGGGACAUGAAUACCACUAGCGAUUUCUGGAACUUAAUAGUCUUCUUGUUCUGAAGACGUGUGAACAGAGCAUUCCAUACGCCCGUCAUGUAUGGAGCAAUGGCACCGUAGUCGAGAUACUCGAUCACAGUAUUGAGCACAUAAAACCCUUGCUCAUCUGUGCUAGGAGCUGCAACCAGUUUAUCAAAUAUUCCCAGCACUUCACUCAACCGAUUCUCUUGAGUGACCUCAUGAGGUGCUUUCUGCAGGAAAGCCUGGAGCAAACGCACAAGGGCUGGAACAUUGCCGCUUCUCUUCCAAGACUCAGGCGACAGGAGCAGCAAGAAGAUCUGCAUGUAGUUCGGCGAGAGAGGCGGUCUGUUCAGCUCAACAAGCUGAGCUAGCAGCUGAAACGCGUAAGGCAAGAACUCUGCGAUAUCAUUGGCCAAAAUCAUCUGCAGGCUUGGGAAGAGACUCGUUUCAAAUGCAGAUAUAAGAGAAAUAUCACGUUCACAGGCCCUGCGAACAAGUACAGCCACAGACUCAAAGAUGUAGUGAUUAAACGUAGGAUUCUUCGGGUUUUUGCAAACUUCACUAAGAACAGAGGUCAAGCCACCGAUGCAAGGUCCAGCAACCUCACUACUGAUUUCAGCAACACCGAGGACCCGCAUUAUACACUUCAUAAUAUAUUGAUUCUCCUCAGAUUCAGGGAACUUCAGUGCAUCAAACAGAUUCGUCAUCAACUGCAGCAAAAACGGACUUAUAUCACCAGCGACAUACCUGCUCCUUCCACCUUCCUCCUUUACUAGCAAGAGCUUCUCUAUGCAGCUAGCAGCAUAUGAGUGCACCACGUUCGACUCUGCUUUAAGGAACCGGACCAGCUCCGGGAACAACUGCAUUGCAAAGGGCUUUGGUAGAUGACUGCGAAACAUCGUUAAGAACUUCAAAGACCCUGCCUUCAGCAUUGGAAAGCUGUUGACGUCGUGGCUUUGCAACUCGGGGAGAAUAAUGCUUGCAAAGAAGCUUUGAACAUCAAUAAGAUCUGUGGAUACAGACGCACCCCCUGCCUUCUUCGUAGCCAGCGAGACGACCAAGUAAAUUGCACAGUCCUUGUCUUUCCAUUGUACAGCCGGAUUAGAUGAAAAAGAGCUCAAAAGCUUCUGUAUCUCAUGAGAAACCACUUCUGUCACCUGUGCUUUGUAGUUUGUGGCAAGUCCUUUAAGCAGUUCACAAGCGAUCCUCCUUCUAGUGUCCACAUCGCUUCCCUCCAUGUCCCUCCGGAUAAACUCAAUAUAGUUCAUCUCAAAAAGCUCUUCAUCUUCAUCCCUCAAAGAAACAUUAGGAAUCACAAUGCUCUGGCAGAUUUCCUUAAUCACAUUCUCGCCUGCAAACAAAGCAUGGUGCGCACUCGUGCUCACAGUGGUCAAAAACUUGAUUGCCGUAGUAGCUAGCUGAUCCCUACUAGGAGACUUCGACACAUCCCUUAGCAACGUCCACACGGCUGAUGCAAAACCCUCCAAAAACUUUUGGAACUCUUCUUCGUACUUCUCCAUGUACAAGUUAAUGUUCUCACAAACAGCCGCGCGGAGAUCAUCCACAAGCGUCAAACCAUCUUCUGUGCUCUCCAAGGCGGGGUAGUUCGAGGACAAACACUUCUUAAACACUCCCAUCCACUUCUCCAUAUUAUCCUCGAAGAACUCAGGCAAGUCCUGAAAGUUCAGCGAGAAAAAUAUCCUGCAGCAAAGCUUCUGAGACUCAAACAAAGGCUUAAGGUUCGCAGCCGAGCUCACAGCGGCAUCAAUCAACGAAUCAGUUUUAACGAAUAUCUCUUGCAACGGAGGAGCGAAAAUCUCAAGGCAAUACUUAAUAUCAAGAAACAGCUCAUCGGUUCUAUACUGAUGCCUAAAGUUCUUGAAAAUCGAAUUCGCAGUCCCGAGAAUACCGUUAACGGCCGCGUAGUCCCCGGCGAGAGCAGCCUUCUGGAGGCUGGAGACGAGCUCCGGGAGCAACGCAGGCCAGUUUCUCGGGAAAUCGUGCUUACCGAUGACGGCUAGGGCUUCGCUGAGCUGGCUCUGGAUCCUCGGGGAAGAGGAGAGCAUGAGGGAGACGAUGAGCGUCUUGAUCUGCUCCUUCUCCGAAUCCAUAAUCGGAGCGACGCCGGAGUCUGCGGAAGGGAGCCACCGCGAGCGGAGGUGGUUCUUGAAGUUGACGGCGGCGGCGUGGCGAGUCUGCUCCUCGACGGAAGGCUCCGCUACGAGACGGAGCACGGCUAAACCGUAGUUUGGUAGAUCGGCGGCUUCGGAGAGAAAUCUCUCGGCGGCGCGGCGAGGCUCGGGGAUCGGGGAGAGUGUGUGGAGGAAGCACUGCGAGAGGUUCUGGAGAGUCUCCGGAUUCCACUCCAUUGUUCGAUAGAGUUUAAUCGAUCGAUCGCGAAAGAGACGGCGAAGAGAGAGGAGUAGCUAGGGUUUCUGAUUUCAGAGGGAAACAGAAUGAUUUUUAUUUUUAAAGAGAUGACAUGACGGUGGAGAAAAGGUUCGAUGAGCUCGUCGGGUUGUACCCGAGAGACAGAUACGAUUGGGCCUUUGUUCAAUUUUUAAGCCCAUGACUUAAAUGGGCCUAACUUGGAUUCCUCGCGAGCAUUACGACUAUGGUUUCUGAGCAAGAAUCUCUGUCGGUGAGACUUUCUCGUUUCCCGAGUUAGUAUUGAUUGUUUCUUUAAUUAAAUCAGCAAGUAGAAAAACGUGUUGUAUUAGCGUAUUACGUGACGUAUGUGAAAAUUUGUGCAUGGAAUAGAACUAACUGAUUAAUGUAAAUAAGAUAAUAAAGGGACGUAUACUUCGUCGAACAGGGCGUAAAGCCGUCAACGUCCGUGGCGCUGGUCCAAAACAUAACACGUUCUUUGGUCUUCUACAUUUAAAGUAGGGUGUGACUGGUAACCAUCAAGGAACAUUAGGAAUGAUUAGGAAAAGAAUGAAUAGGAAUAAAAUUUUGGGAACGAUGAGGAACAAGGGUUCCUUAUCAAAAUUAACAAGGAACAAAUUUGCAUUAUAAUUCUCUACAAAAAAAGGAAUGGAAAGGAAUGAAGAGGUAUAUUCCUCGCGAAUGGUAACAUUUUUGAGGAACAUUAAGGAAUGCAGUGUUCCACUUCGUUCCCUUGGUUACCAUUCAAACCCGUAGUAUUGCUAUUUGCUUAACAAAAAGAGAGUUUUUUGGUCAAAUAAAUAAUAUACGAAUACUAGUAUUUUACCAGUAAAGUAAGGGUAAUUUUAUCAAAUAGCUUUUUUUAAGUUUUGUCACAAAAAUAACAUUUAAUAAGGAAAAUGACUAAAAUAACUUUUUUUUUAUUUUGAAAAUUUAAUAUUUAUUUUUUUAUUUAAAAAAAUUGAAAUCAUAUCCUCAAAACUAUAUAUAUUAACUCUAAACCUAAGUCUAUAUUAAUUAAUCCUAUGGUAUAAAUGUAUUUCUACUUUUUAAUAUAAAAAAAUUUGAUCAUUUUUUUCAUUGAAAAAUAUUUUUGUGAUAAAAACUUAAAAGGUGAUAUCUUAGAAAAUUUCCUGUAAAAUAAAUAAUACUUCUAGUAAUUAACUUUGAUGGCGUUUUUUUGUUUGUUUGUGCUGCUUGAUUCCAGUGGUUUUAGUGGUGUUUGAAUCCAGAAGGUAAUAAAUAACAAACUCCACACGAGCACGAAUAGAAUUUUGUAGCAGAAUAAUUAACAAAAGAGAAGAUAGUAUAGUAAUGAUAAGAAGAAGCAUGGCAUCUGAUGAUCAGUUUGGUUUCUCAUACUUUUUUAGUUAAGUACAGUACUUAAGCUUGCAUUUCUUACACGUGGGACGUGCUAUAUUACGAAUGAUGCUCACUAAAGUGACACGUGACGCAUGAUGUAUUUGUCGUAAUUUGAAAAUAAAGUUAAAAUGUCGAUUUCAUGGCUCCACCAUUGAAUCACGAAAAACGCGUGAUGGAUAGAAAAAAAUGGAGUUGCGUAAGCCAAUUGAUUCUUUUUUAUUGAUUACUAGUAGUACCUUUGCUCCAAUCGCCUAUCGAACUUUUAUCCGUAACUUCUUACUGUCUUUUAAAAUUUUUUUAAACGCAUAUCAUUAUUAUCUGUCAUACAUAACAGUUUAACAGAUUGCUAUAAUCACUUGUUUUGUUGAAAAAAAAAAAGAAUGUGAGACAUGAGAAGUAAUUGUCUGUAAUAAAGACCACCGUAGUCACGAGUGUCUCCACAUAACCCCACAUUUCUCCUCUUCGUUCUCUACCAUACGUUAGUAGGCUCUAUCCUCUUACUGCUUAUCCAUCAUGCUUACUUUGUUUUAUUCCAUCAAAAAUAUAAAACCUUAUCAUCUAUAUUGUCAUAUUGAGUUCACAUUUGUUUUGGUAACUAGUCUUAAGAAGCAAGAACAUGUUACCAGGCCAAAAUUAUUCUCUUAAAAGUGUAGAAAAUAGGAUUAGACGAAUCUACGUAUGCACGUAUUUUUUAGGGUAAUACUCGAUUAAAUAUGAGGGUUUUUUUUUUUUUGCUCUAUCAAAAGAUAAAAGAAUUUAUAAGUUGGUUCGACUUCCACAUUACUCAAAGAGAACCAACCAUGGCGUUAUCAUAAUAAAUUAAUAACCUACAAAAAGGGUCAACUUUAACAUGUCACAAUACAUCAUGUACAUUUAUAUUUGAGCUUCUGUAUUAUGUAAUUCGAUCGCUGAAAGCAUUUUACAAAGACACGAUAUAAAAACAUAUAGCUUUUUAAUUGUUAUAAUUUAAUUUUCUUACUGCAACCUAAAUGAUGCUCUACUAAUGAAACAAAAAAAGCAAAAAUAAUCGAUUUAUAAGAAAAUGAUACGAUGAAAACGAAUAAGCGUCAUCAUAUGUUUUUACAUUGUUAUUUUUGUAUUAAACAAAAUGGUGCUGCAUGUAUUUUAUACUAUUAUAUUUAUACUACUAUAUCUCCUACGAUUGGUUUUUACUCUUUUCAACAAUUCUGUCAUAUAAUCCAUAAACCCUUCUCGUUAAAUAAAAACUAUCAUUUUAUGUCACUGAUAGAAUCCAUCAAGUGAUCUUGCCCAAUCAUAUAUGAUUAAAUUUUCAAAAUUACUAUCAUGAACGAUAUAUAUAUUGUUACUGAUAAUAUUAUAUCCCAAUGCUAAUUAAUGUGUUUGGCUUUACUUUGCAUGUUUUCAGAUUUCAAAUUCGCUUUUGGUACUGUGAUAUAUAUUAGUAGUUAUCGUUGAUAAGUUUCUCCACAUGUCACAAGACUCCCGUGUAACUAAAUUUAUUGAAGAUAACUCUUUGUAAACUAAUAUUAUUGGUAUAGCAAAAGAUCAUGACCACUUUGUAUAUGAUACAAAGAUGUUAAAUUCAUCCCGGGUGAGUCAAGAUUCCUUCCACACGGGAAUAAAGUUGAUGUAUAAAAUAUUGCAACAUCUUAACGAUGUUAGUAAAUGCUACUCCUAUAAAUAUGUUUUUGGUUAUAACUCGAUAUAAACUUAAGCAAUUAGUACUUUAAAUCCAUAUACAGAUAAUCAUGUAAUAAAUACAUACUAUAUUUUAAUUAUUUGAAUCUAAGAGGAGCAAAACAAUAAGCAUUUCCAACCCAAGACCUUAUUUUAAGAAGAGUAAAACUUCAAAAUGAGGAUUUUUAAGUUGAUUACUCCAACCAUAAAUCAUCAAAAAAAUCUUUAGAAAUUUAUUUAUUUGUAUUAUAAUCUUUGAUAUUAACAAAAGUUACUAAUAAAUAAUUAUAAAGACCAAAAAAAAUAUAAGAUAGUUUUGAGGUUGUGAAUAGUUAAACUUUAAAUUUAAAAUUUCACUAUUCACAACUUUAAAAUUUGAAGAUUUAAGGUUAAGUUAGAAUGAUACAAAACUUCGAUUUGAGAUUGGGUUGGACAUGCUCUAAGAAAACUACAACAACACGACGAUAAGAAAAAGUUAGGUUAAAGUCAUCACAUGUGGUCUCACGGAGCGAGACUCCUUUUGUUGAACGUUACAGUUAGGCAUGAGAUUCACGCAAAUCUUAUGCGACAAAUAAUUUCUCUUCAAAUUUUUAAAAUUAAAAGGAAAACGUAAUUUUAUUAAAGACAUGUAUUAAAUUAGAGGACUUUUAGCGAGAAUAAUAAUAACAGAUAGUCCAAUUAAAUGGACCCACGUUAAUAACGAUGUCUGAAAUAAAUAACCACCCCACCAGAUAAUUCAAACGAUAUUUUUUUCUUUUGGUUUUUAUGCAUGUGAUUGCUUUUUAUUGGUUGAGACAAAAUAAUAUAAACAAUUAUAUUCAGUACUAUUUGGUACACAAAUCUAUUUAAAAAUCUUUCGACCAUGUGAUGAUGAUCUAUACUUUUUUCUAUUUUCCUAAUUAUUAUUAUUAUAUUUUAUUUUAUUUUUUUGGAUGUGAUCUAUACAAAUAUUUGAAUCUCACGUAGUUACAUAUACACGUGUUUAAAUUCACACAUUAAUCAGGUUUGUAGCUCUAAACAUUAGGAAACUCAACCAUGGUUAAGCUCAUAACCCAACUCUAAAACGUUGCAUAAGUAAACCACGGUUGGUUUUUUUAAAAGAGUCUUCUUCUUCAUACAAAACUUACCCAACUCCCCUCUCUCUCUUUCUUCUUCUCCAAACUCUUGUUUUCAUAUACCUCUUGGUUCUGCUGAAGUUUUGUUUGAGAUGAAUACGAGUGAUGUAGUAGGAUGGGAAGAUGAAGAUACUAGAUCCAUGGUUAGCGCCGUGUUAGGAAACUCAGCUUCUGAGUUUCUUACAGCAAACUCAAACUCAAAUCAGAAUCUGUUUCUCGUCAUGGGAACCGACGAUGGUCUCAACGAGAAGCUCUCUCGUCUCGUGGACUGUCCAAACUCCGAGACUUUCAGCUGGAACUACGCCGUGUUCUGGCAGCAGACCGUGUCUAGAUCCGGACAACAAGUCUUGGCUUGGGGAGACGGGUGUUGCCGCGAGCCCAAGGAAGAGGAAUCAACCGUUUGUUAUAACCUAGAGGAAGAGAUGAGGUGGCAGUACAUGAGGAAGAGAGUGCUUCAGAAGCUACACAGGAUGUUCGGUGGAUCCGAUGAAGAUGACUACGCUUUGAGCUUAGAGAACGUUACGGCUACUGAGAUGUUCUUCUUGGCUUCGAUGUAUUUCUUCUUUAACCACGGAGAAGGUGGUCCGGGAAGGUGCUUUGCUUCGGGGAGACACGUGUGGUUGUCGGAUGCGGUUGGCUCUGAUUAUUGUUUUAGGUCUUUUAUGGUUAAAUCAGCUGGGAUAAGGACUGUUGUUAUGGUUCCUACUGAUGCUGGUGUUCUUGAGCUUGGUUCGGUUUGGUCUUUGCCUGAGAAUGUAGAGUUGGUUAGGUCUGUUCAAGCUUUGUUCAUGAGGAGAGUUAAGCCACCAAACAUGAGCGGAGGAAAGAUUCACAAGCUUUUCGGACAAGAACUGAAUAGCUCGGACAAGGUAGCUCAUCAAGUGCAAGAGAAUGUGAAUGUGGUUGUUGUAGAGGAUACUAAUCACAAGGUGAUGAAGACUUCUUGUAAUGAGAAAAGACCAGCGAGUUUAUUACCGGGAGGAGUGUCUGUUGUGGAGGAGAAGAGACCGAGGAAGCGAGGGAGGAAGCCUGCUAACGGGAGAGAAGAGGCGUUGAACCAUGUGGAAGCUGAGAGGCAGAGACGUGAGAAGCUUAACCAGAGAUUCUACGCGUUACGAGCUGUUGUUCCAAACAUAUCUAAAAUGGACAAAGCUUCUUUACUUGGAGACGCCAUCUCUUACAUCAAAGAGCUUCAAGAGAGAGUAAAGAUCAUUGAAGCUGAAGGAGUAAUGACCAUUGGGACAGAAGAAAGUCAAGAAGUUGUUGACAUUCAAGCUGGGGAAGAGGAGGUUGUUGUGAGAGUAGUCUCACCGUUGGAGUCACAUCCAGCAUCAAGAAUCAUACAAGCAAUGAGAAACUCAGAGGUUGUUAGUGUUGUGGAGUCUAAGCUUUCAUUAGCUGAAGAGACACUGUUUCACACUUUUGUAGUAAAGAAUAACAACGGAUCGGAUCCUUUGACGAAAGAGAAGCUUAUAGCAGCGGCUUACCCGCAAACCGGCUUGACGCAGCAGCUAUUACUACCAUCUUCUACUUCACAGGUCUCUGGUGAUAUCUAGCUUUCAAGCUUCUUAUCUUGUUCAGUAUAGGAAGACUUUGAGGUUCAACUUAGAAAUAGAUAAAUCCUUUUUUUUUUCUCUUACUUAGAGUAAAAGUAAUCAAAUUAUAGUAUAUUUGCUAACCUUAUCAUCUGUUAGACUGAAAGUAAUACAGUCUUCGAGUGACAGUCUAUUUAAUAAGUUAAGUCGCAUAUUUGUAUCUUGAGAAUAUAAUUUUUUUUCAAAUCAAAUAAAUAAAUAUGAAAGAUAUUUUGACAUUUUCCUUCAUUUGUGAAUCAUGUCAGUGUAAUAUCUCUAAUGUUUUGUCUAUCUGAAAGCAUAUGUUUGUCCAAUAUCUUAUUAAUGUAUGCAUGAAGCAUAUGAUAUAUUGGUCCUUAAGAUUCUUACCAGUUUCAGAACACCUCACUAGGUAAGUAACUGUGAAUUGGUUUAGAUUGCUAAUGACAAAGUAAAUCAUAUAACUCACACAUGAUUAUUCAUAUCUUAGAUAAUAUUUCACUCAUUAAUAAACCAAUCAUAUAUAAGUAGACCUAUACUUCAUCUUUUUCCAUAUUCCAUGUUAAUUACUUCACCUCAUUUUAAAGUUUGGGCUUCUAGUAAAAUUAUAAAAAGCCCAUCCUCAAAAAGCCCAACUCGGCUUCACUGCUUCUUCUCCUCUCCUCCAUUUCUCAUUUGCUUAGUUUUGUUUUUUCUCCGAUCAGAUCCAAAAAGUAACUUCCCUUCCUUCGCCGCGAUGUCUCUCCGUCGUUCCAUCCUCGGCCUCCACCGCCAAACCCACAACCUCUCUCUCUCAAAGUCUUCACCUUUCCCAAUCACCAACAUCUCCUCCCCUUCCGCCGCCGUGAUCGGAAGNNNNNNNNNNNNNNNNNNNNNNNNNNNNNNNNNCGUGAAGAGAAAUCUCCUCGACCCCAUUUUCACUAACCCAGAAACUCAAACCGGACUCCGUUAAUCUCGUCGCCGAUCGUUCUCUCGGGCAAUCUCAGCUGGCUCGUCUCCCGGCUUCUCGAGGCUACAGCAACGCGUCUCUCGUACGGAAGAUCCCUGUUCUGUUCCACAUCAACGCGGGGAUGGAGGAGGUUUUGGCGGAUUACGUUCACCAAGAGCUGACCAGGAAUCUGAUGGUGAUCUCUCUGGGGUUGUUCCAGAUCAUCGUUAUCAAAGACGUCGUCGUGUUUCUUUUCUUCUGAGCAAAAGGAAUCAUCUUUUGGGGUCUCUCUCUAUCACCUGUUUAAUGAAAUAGUGAGCUAAAGUCUCUUCCUUUUUGUUUUAUCUUUCUUCUGUUAUGAAUAAGAACAUUGAUGCUUGUGUUGCUUCAGUUUCUCUUGUUUUCAAAGUUUGAUUCAGUUCGUAUAAGGCUUAAGUGGAAUUAAUAACUUUCCUGGAUUGUAGACAAGAGUAUGUCUCCUGAGGUGGAGUAAUAAGACUCUCUCUAUUUAAGCUUUGAAUUGAAUAAAAGAGAAGUUUUCUCAGCUCUCUUCUUUAUAAUUUUCAUCAAAUUUUGUUAUUCCAUACUCAACAAGUCAUCAGAAGAGAGAAAUCAAACAUAGAGAUCAUUCCUAGGCUGUACGGUUCAUACCACAAUUUAACCAUUGCUUCCACUUGAAAUGUAUUGAUGUGUGGCUCAAGAUUCAUGAUUCAUGCCCUAUUUGUCGAGACUCGCGCGCAUAAAGAUAGAAACCAUGGGUUAUAUUUAUAUGGCGACUAGUGUUUGGUUCAUUCAUGCUUUAGUUGUUGGAUUCUGUUAAAACGUUACAAUGAAUGCCCACUUUUUUAAUUUGUCUAUAUACAUGUGCGAGUGUUUACUAUGGAGUGAAGAUUGUUGUACUUGAUUAUAAGACUAGUGACUGAUAACUUUUAAAAAAAAUGUUUAUACCCAAGCAGAGUGCAUAUAGGAAUCGGUAUCAUUCUGCCCCCACUAUGUUCAUUCCACAACACUUUGUAAAAAACAUUUCUAAGAUCAAACACCCCAUCUAGAAGGAUUAUCACUCUCUGUUUCUUUUGAUAUUUUGAUCGUUGUUUCUUUGUGUUCAUAUAUUGUGGAUCCACUCUGUUACAGACAAAAUACAUGUGACUACUUUCAAAUCCACUAUGUCAAGUCAACACAUGGUGCCCCUUGUGUAAUGACAACGGAUCUUAAAGAACAACAGAGGCUAUGGCUAUUGAACAAAAGUUACACGAACUCAUAAAAGACAUGAUAAUUAACUCAACAUCGCAAACAAACAAAAAAAAAAGAGUCCACAAAAUAUCUUCAAAGUUUUGAUUAUGUUUAUGGAAGAAACUACAUAGAACAUAUUAUGACGAAAAUUAAUUAAAUCUCGGAGAUUAGCAGUUAACAACCUUAAACGUGGAAAAUGAUCGUCAUCAUCAAUCAAUAUCAUCAAACAUCUUCACCUUCAUCAAUCGUCCAUCCCAGCUGACGAGGUCUCCUCUGAUCCACCACCGCAGCCGUCUCCGCCGGCAAAUCGGCCAGCGUCGCGAGAGAAGAAGACGAAGAAAGCGACUGCAGAUUCGAAGAAGACGACGACGAAGCCGCCGGGAAGUUCAUAGCCAUGAUGUUGCCCUCGCUCCACGACCUCCGGAUCGGGAACGAGAUGCUCUCCGAGCUCCCGUGGCGUCGGCAAGGCUUCCGCCGCUGGUUUUGACUCUUCUUGGCGCCGUCGUGAAGCGCGCAGUCGCAGUUUUUGUGGUAGGGACGCCGCUCGAUGGCGGAGUCGAGGCCGGAGAUGCAGCCUUCGAAGAUGCAGCGGAAUAUUCCGUCGGCGGCGGACAUCGUUUGGUCUUCGAGAUCCAGGCGGAGAUAAACAAAGAAAGGAUCCGAGUCUUUCGCGGAACUCAGAUUUAACUUUUAACUUAUAUAAAUAAAGACAGGUUUGUUUGUUUGUUUGUUUGUGUGUAAUAAGUUAGUUAUCACGUGUACGUGUUUAUUAAAUGGGCCCAAUAAAAGCAGCGCUAACAACGUGUCUGGGCACUAUAUAAAUAUCGCGUCUUUAUUGGGCCCAUCUCAACCUACGCGUGAUUCAUUUACUUUAACUAAAUUAAAUUAAUCGACGGCGCAAUGGUUGCCAGCCUGGCACUAGUUAAACGAUGUCGUUUCAAGCCAAUCCCUAGAAAACGACGCUGUUUAAGGUGUUCGGCUGAAACGACGACGUUUAGUUAACAACAAUUGGGCCUCACAUGUAAAUAAAGGAAACAGUAAGGCUCAACCGUCAAAGAAAUAAUCUGAUAAAUCAAAACGAUGACGUUUCGGGUCCCCGCGCAUAUAAAUAACCGAUUUUUAAAUAACUCGUUGAGAGGGCUUCUUGGAGAGACAGAGAGAUCAAGAACGAUUCAGUUUGUUGAUCGAUCAUCUCUAAGAAUCAUCGUUCAGGGUUUGAGGUUUAGGGAUGGCGAGGAGAGUGGAGGGAAGGAACAGGUUCAGAGACUUCUUUCUAUGCUCGCUCCCAGUUGCAUUCAUCAUGGCGUUUCUCUACGUUCUCGUUUCCUCAUCCAUCUUCGGCUUCUACGCUCCUCACAUCCAUUCACCCUUUGGUUCGUUCUCUCUUGAUCGUUUCUUUAUAUUAUCUGACGUUAAUGGCACGAGUGUUUGCAUUCAUCAUAUACUCUAUUAAACGUUUCAGAUAAUAAAGAGAGUAACUUCAUCGACAAGGUAACGUUAUAUCAUCACAUUUGUACUUAAUCGGUUAUGAAAGAUUUGGAAUGAGAUCAUCAUGUGUUGGAUGCUUCGUUUCAGAAUCUUGACUGGAGAGAAAAGGCAGCUCUUGAAUCUUUUCCAUCUCUUUUCUCAAAAGAGGCAAGUGUCUCUUUUUGUGUUUGGAGUUUCUUGUGUUUGCUAAAAAAGUACUUACUAUAAGUGUUUGAUACAGAUGCUUGAUGCUCUCAAUGGUACUGCUACUACAUCUGAUUCGGAUACUGUUAGCAUAGAUGCAAUCAGGAAGAAAGAACCUUCUUUGUCAUGGAGAGUAGAGGACGAAGUUGAGAGUUCUGAGGUAGAUAUGAUAACUUCUCUAUGUUUUUAACCUGUAAGAAGUUACUGACCAUGCUUGUUGUAUCCUCACCAGGAUCAAAUGGUUAAUAAUAUUGGUCUUGGGACUUGGACUAGAGAAGGAGGAGGCCAAGUGUUGAACGAUACACCAGAGAAGUUGUAUCAAAGGGUAACUUUCUUUUAACACCCUUUCAAGCUUGCGUGACACGGUUGCUUUAAUCUGAUCCCUUGUGUUGUUGGAAGAGGAUGAGACAGGAGAGAAGAGAGAAACGUGCAAAAGAUCUAAUGAACAAAGAUAAUCAACAAGCCCUUGAGAAAGCAGCCAUCCAGCGUUCAAGGUCCAUCGACUUCGUAGCACCAGGAAACUACAGCAUCUGGAGAAACGAGUAUCACAAGAGCAAGAACUUUGAAGAUCUGUUGCGUCUCAUGCAAGACCAAAUCAUCAUGGUGCGAGUUUACACUAGCCUUGCUAAAAUGACUAACAAUCUCGCCUUGCACAAAGAGCUUGAAGCAAAACUAGCUAAGAUGGAGGAAGAACAAGAGGAAUCAAUUAAUAUUGAUCAACAACAAAGGUAAUAUAAUGUCAAAUUCUUAAUCAAACUCUUAUUGCUUUAGAAAAUUCACUAUAUGCUAUGUCACACUUUGACAUCUCCAUAUAUAGAUAAAUAUAAGUCUUAAUCAUCAUGGACUUUUCUAUUGCAUAGCUCGGUAGGAAAGUGAUAACUUGCUACUCAAGUUACUUCAAGUUUAAUCCAACAUUGACUCAUGAGAGCUGUAAUACUAAUACUGUUCUUAAGAUGGUAAUCUUUUUUUGUUUAUUGUAGCAGAGUUCUUGAUACCAUCAGAGACAUGGGACAGCUUUUAGCUAGAGCAAGGAAGCAGCUAUAUGAUUGCAACCUGGUGACAAACAAGCUGAGAGCAAUGCUACAAACAGCUGAAGAAGAACUCGUCUCCACACAAACUCAUACUACUUUCUUGAACCAGCUAGCUUCCAAAUCAAUCCCACACGCUAUCCACUGCUUGACCAUGACCUUGAACCUAGAGUACUCUCUCCUCCCUGCACCAAUGAGACACUUCCCAAGAAUGGAGAACUUGGAGAAUCCAGAUCUCUAUCACUACGCUCUCUUCUCUGAUAAUGUUUUGGCUGCAUCGGUUGUUGUCAACUCCACAGUCACCAACGCAGACGAUCCUUCCCUCCACGUGUUCCACAUCGUGACUGAUAAACUCAACUUCGGAGCGAUGAGCAUGUGGUUUCUCCUAAACCCUCCUAAAGAAGCAACGGUCCAUGUCCAACGGUUCGAAGAUUUCUCUUGGCUCAACUCGUCUUACUCACCAGUACUGAGACAGCUUGAGUCAGAAGCCAUGAAGAAGUUUUACUUCAAGACGGAGAGGUCAGAGUCUGCUGAAUCAGGAGCAGAGAAUCUCAAGUACCGGUACCCUAAGUACCUCUCCAUGCUCAACCACCUGAGGUUCUACAUCCCCAAGAUCUUCCCAAAGCUGGAUAAGAUCCUGUUUCUUGACGAUGACGUGGUUGUUCAGAAGGACUUAGCUCCCUUGUGGUCGGUUGAUCUCAAAGGGAAAGUGAAUGGUGCAGUAGAGACCUGUGGUGUCACUUUCCAUCGCUUAAAGGCUUACUUAAACUUCAGUGAUCAACACGUUUCAGAGAAGUUUGAUCCGGAGUACUGCGGAUGGGCUUAUGGGAUGAACAUCUUCGACCUCAAAGAGUGGAGAAAGCACAACAUCACGGAGACGUAUCACUUUUGGCAGAACCUGGUUAGUUUUUUUCUUCUUGACUUAUCAUUCAUCUCCAAGUGUGUAUGUAGAUUUAAGUUUGAAAUGGUUAUGUUUUGGUUAUUGUAGAAUGAGAACAGGACGCUGUGGAAGCUUGGGACAUUGCCACCGGGGCUCAUAACGUUCUAUAAUCUGACUCUGCCGCUACAGAAGAAAUGGCACUUGCUUGGAUUGGGUUAUAACAGAGAGAUCGAUGUAAAGAAGAUUGAGAGAUCAGCUGUGAUACAUUUCAAUGGACACUCGAAGCCAUGGACAGAGCUAGGGAUCAGCAAGUAUCAGCCUUACUGGACAAAGUACACCAAUCUUGAGCAUCCUUACAUCUCUAGCUGCAGGCUGUUGGAGUGAAGAAGAGAAGAGGAUCUCGUUAUGUACAUAAAUAACACAUGCAUGUGAAUGAUAUCUGCAACUAUAAAAUGUAAAUAGGAUAUGAAUACUCCAUAUGAGUUGAUUGUUGCCUUCUUCUUAUAGUAUUAGUAUCUCUCAUCCAGUUUCAUGUAAAACAACUUUAACAUAAAAAAAAAAGGAAUCUCUCUCACUUCUUCUUCUAUAUGAACGUGAAGGUGGUGUUUUAAUUGAUGGCCUUGAACAUUGACAAACUCACUAAGCGUCACAUGCACAUGCAAAACAAGUAAGACAAGGAUGGAACAAGUUGUACCUUAGUGCCCAUCUCUUGUCUUAACUCCUAAAGUUGUGGCCUCAGAAGCUUCAAGAACAUGAUAGAUAAAAGCACAAAUUGCAAAAGAAGCAUAUCUUAAUCUAUGAUAACAAACAAAAAAACUAAAACGUAUAUUGAGUUUGUAAGUAGCCUUAAGUUGCUUCAAAAGGAAAAGGAACUGUAACACCAUGAAUGAUCACAGUUGUCAGAACUAUUGAAGCCCACCUGCAGAUAAAAUUUCAGAAACUUAUCACGGAUAAAUACGUAGAAUGAGUUAAAAGAAACUGUGUAAAUAUAAACAUACCAGUUCAAGCCAGUAAAGGAAUGAACACCAUCUAUGUUUAUGAGCUCUACUUCUGCCUAAACAUAGAGCUAAUAAGCUUGUUACUUUACGAAUCAUUGUAUCAGAACUUGGUGAAGCAUAAAAUACUAGUCACUUAACAAGAACAAAUAAAAAAAAAACAAUUUAAUCUCGUUAACCUUGUCCCUUAACUUACCUGAUUAAAAACUAUUAAAAAAAUCUGAGAGACACAAGUACACACAGGUUUUUGAAAUCACCACACACACUUGAGCUGACUGACAGUCGGAAGCUACCCAAAACGCACCGUUUCAGCGAUAAAAACCUGUGAAAGAUAGUGUCUCUAUACUUAAAACUUAAAAAAUGGUAACUACUUUACGAAUAUGGCGGAAAGCAGAGUUACGAAUUUGUGAAAGAUCAUUUCGUUUGAGUGCUUGUCACUCUAGUUAGUUGAAAAAAAUCUGGUAAAAGCUCAUUACUCUUCUCCUUUGUCUCGUAGUGUUACUUUCUUACUUUUGCUUUUGCUGUUCCAAGCAUAACCACCUCGCCGUUGCUUUUACUUCUUUUAGCUCUAGAAAUGGCGUCUGCUGCUCUUCGUAGCUUUUCAAGGAGAAAGCUUUCACCAAAAUGGUUCUGCAAGACCUCCUCCUCCACAAUUCCCUCUCUUGUUCUUCAUCAUGAUGUCAAAACUUAUAAUACUAAGCCCACCACUUUCUCGGAUUCAAGUAUUCUUCUUUCUCGUAGUUUUCACAGGCAAGUGUUCUUCUUUGAAGACAGAAAGAAAAUGACUUUUGCUCAACCAUUAGGUGCUUCUGGAGUGUUUCUAUGUAGACACAUCUCCUCUUCAUCCGGCAAACCUGCAGAAGAAUCGAGCAUAACGCUUGAUGCCUUAGGAGAUAUUGUUGAGGGACUUGUCCCUGAGAAGUCUGUGGAAGCAGCUAUUGAUGGAGCAUUUGAAAACUUAUAUUUCCCUCUGAACUGCGUGCAGUAUGUGAUUAAUGGAAUCCAUGACCUUACCGGCUUCAACUGGUACCCAUUUUAUUUAAAUUUGGUUGGUCUUUUAUGUUCUGUUACUGUUUGAUGAUUUUUCUUACAGUUGUUUGGUCACUACUCUUGUAAUAUAAAGGUGGAUCAUGUCGAUUGUUCUUACGGCCUUUCUGGUUAAUGGACUCAUGUCUCCACUCUCUCUGCGGAUUGAGAGACAAGUUUGGGAGUUAAAAGUUAUUUUCUUUUCUUUUCUUGUGUGCUUUCUCAUUGACUUCAUUUUUGCUUUUGAACCUUUAAUUAUGUUUUCUUUUUGUAAAUUAGAUUUUGCGUAUGUGCAUUCAGAAGGUGAGGAGAGUGAUGCAGACAUGUGAUCCUAAAGGUCUGGCUAAACACAAAAAAUGGGAAGCAGAGUGUACACAAAAGUGAGUUUCCUUACACAAUGCUUUAUAUGUUAAUUCUGAAAAUGUCUUAAAUCUCCGGUUUAAAAGCUAACAUUGGAUGGAUGUCUCUCUUUGACUUUCUCUAUCUUGUGGUUCAAUUAUUUACAUCAGAUUUGGAGAAUGUUACAAGUCUUACCGACGGCUAAGACUUAUUGAUCCAUUCAUCAUCAUCAGCUUCAUCAGUGGGGUAAAAAAAAAAAAGAGAAUGAGUUUAUUUAUAAUGUUCUCACUCUUGCCUACUUACUCACUAUACUUAUCUUCAAAACAGAUUAAUACCAUGGCGAAGAAAAUCCCAGGGUUUACUGAUCUUUUAACUCCAGAGCAUAUGAUCCAGUAACGGCCUCUGAGCAGCAAAGGAUCAUGAUAAGUGUUAUGAGGGAGUUCAUUGACAUGGUGAAGACGAAAGGCAAGAAGUGAAUCUUCUUUUGCUCUCACGGUCUCUCUGCAUUAGUCUUCAAAUAGUUGACUACUGUCUGUAUUCAUCUUACAACUUAUGGUACCUGUUUUUAGUUUCUGAACCUAUCUCUUAGUGAAGACUUUACUUUAAAACAGCAUCCUCUCUAGAUUUCCAUGCAUGGUUCUUGUCUAUGCCAACACUAUAUAUUGGGGCCUUGUUUUGCAAUAUUUGUUUAUUAAAAAAUGGAGCCAUAAAAGCUAAAGAAAAAGAUAAUUGUUAACAAAUUAAAUGGACCAUGUGCAAAUGGUUACACAAUUAUUUGAAAUCACUAUGGAAGCAGUACUUGGCUCCAAGGAUAGACAUUCUUUACUUCUAUAUGCACACAACAUUAGGUUUCAUCCAUAGGAAACUCAGGAUCAGCUGGUUUCUGAGGCAACAAAGAUAGCAUAUGAGGAAGCAUAGAGCUGCGUGCUGCUGCAUUAGCCCUUACAUUCCUCAGAGCAUGAGAAGCAAACCUAGACGCAUAAAUCGCAGCACUUAAGUUAAGUUUGUUGCCUCCUGAAUCAUCGGUGGUCUGAAGAGUGUUUUGUAGUCUUUCUUCUUCUUCACGUAAAGCCCUUGAGAGCUUCCUUCUACAGUAUCUCUUCCAUGCUGCUUGUAUAAAACAUGCUGCCCAUGUCUGCCACUGCACUGAAUAACACCUGGAAAAAUGCCGAAAAAACAAUGAAAGUUAUUUAGGAUAAGAAGGUAACUUGAGACACAAGUUACAAGUUAGUUAGGGUUAAAUAUAUUGCUCAACAAGUUAUCUCUAAUUUGUUAAGCAAGCACUCUUUUCCAAUAGGUAAGUCUUGCCUGUACGUGUGUCGUAGCUGCUUGCUAUGGAGGCGACGGUACUGUGUAGAGAAGAAUUUGAGAUCUUCAGCUGAGAGGACAAAGCCUUCGACUUCUGUCUCAGCUUGAACGGUUCUAGUAGAGAUAGGUAAGUGAGAGGUGUUAGGAUCCAGUGCCCAAGUGAGAAGAUCUCCACAGAAAUCACCAGCUUCCAAAUGAGCAAUAUUGAAGAAUCCGGUUUGGCCACCAUAAGUAGUUGUACUUAUAAGUUUUCCUCUCAUUAUAAACACCAUAUCCUCGACCGGUUCACCUUCACGCACAAUGUAACUGUUCUCCGUGUAAAGAACUGUAUUCAAACGUGCACAAAGUGCGUCUAGUAGCCGAUCAUCCAUGGCUUUAAACCACGGCACCUGAAAACAAAAGAGUUGGCUAAGUUUUAUUACCAAUAUGUAGUGAUACCCGUCACAUAUGUUAAAACCAAUUGACGAUAAGUAGAAUAUUAGUCCAACUCCGUUAUAUUUUACCUAUAUAAAUUCCUAAUAUAGAAACUUAUAACCAGUUAAGGUUUACCUUUUUGAGGAGAUUCAAACAAAGAUGGCGUUUAAUUUCCUUUCUAAGAUCUUUCGGAAGACUAGAGAGAAGAGCUUCUUCCUCAACUCCUCUGGUUUCUUGCCAUUUAUACUGUUCGUAUUCACGUACACGUUUUCUCAGAUCAUCUGGCAACAUACGGUGAGACAUCCAUUGCUCUGCAUCUCUCCUUUUCACCCUCAUUUCCUCAAUUCUUACCGUAGUUGAUUGCAAAUAUUUCUACAAAAUCCACAAAAGAAAAGAAAAACAAUUUUUCAGAAUAUUGAUUCAUUGUUUAAUUGCUUAGAUGUCUCUGCUGGCUCCUUAACGAAAGAGACAAGAGCAAGAAGUGUAAAAUUUUCUCAUGUUAAUCAGACAUGCAUGGUCGGAUAGAUAGUUAAUUUUCGAAACAACCCUAUUUUCCUCCAAAACGUAAUCUAAAUAAAUGGGUUGUCUAACCAAAAAAAAAAUUUGUUUGAUGCUUAGAGAAGAGUUACCUGCAUGUUUCCUAUGAGAAGAGCAAACAAAACUAGUCCAGAGAUACAAAUGAUGAUCGCGAAAAUGAUCUCUCCUUCAAAGUCACUUGUCUUCAAGUUUUGCCCCACAGCACUAUACACAAAGAGAAACAAGAUUUGUAUAUCUAAUGUUGUUAGAACAAAAUGUUCACAUUCUAGUCCACAAUGUAGUCAUUAUAUACUUAUGAAACUCACUAAGAGAGAAACAUAGAUGAGAGUAUAAAUGUUACAAACCUAAGAUUGCGAAGACCCCACCAGAAACAAUAGAAAAACUUUUUAGGGAAGUUCAUUGACUCCACAACUCCAGACUGCAAUGCUUCAGCGAAUAUACCAAAGUUGAAAACCGUCGAGUUUUUUAUCUCCUCUGGGUCCAUCAACGGGCAAGAACCUAUUAGAUACUGGCUAUUGUCUUCCCCACCCGAACAGUAUAAGUUCCCAUGAACACAUCCUUCUAUUUUAGCACAUGUUUCACGCCAACAUCUAUCUUUCCUUUCAAUCGAUAUCAAGUACCAAAAAGAUCCAAAGACAUGGCUAGCUAACAUGUAGAGGAAUAGGUUUAAAGCAGCUCCAGCCCAUGCAGUCUCAGUUACCAAACCGGACGUUCUUGUUACUUCUUUAAAAAGCGGAUAGAUUCGUGCAAUUCUUGGAACAUACUGACAAAAUAUUACCCAUUUCAGUAGCUCUUUUGUUACCAGUGACGCAGGUCGACUCAUCGAUGGAACAACAGCUAGAACAACUACCUAUAAAAGCAAUGAAAGUUUUAGAUUCAACCAACAUCUUGAAGAAGUAAGAUUUGAGAAAGUAGCUGUACCUGAGGAAUAGGGAGAAUAGAAAGAACAUCGAUUAUAAAGUAUGACUUGAGGUAUCUCACAGCGAUUUUUUUAGAGCUCUGAACAAGCUCCCCUCUUCCAAAACCACGAGAAGAAGGAGCAAUGAAGCCAGUAUUAAACUGAAACAACAUGUGAACCAAAUAGAAAGCGUCGAUGAAAGUGCGGAAAACACAAGCCACUGCCUCGAGUUUCUUGUCUAGUUUAAGACAGAAUCUGUCUGGAUCCACCACGGGGAUGAAGAAAAAAAGAGGAUCAAAUGCUAACGCUACAACACAAAGGAGCAAGAAAAUCUUGUUCCAGUUUUGAAGAUAAGAGUCGUUAGGAUUCAUCACUCGUAUUAUCUUUUUCUUGUUCUCAUUCUUCUUUUGAGAAUGAAACGUUAAUGGCUGCUGCUUAAAGGUUCUGAUCUUCUCUGAGCCUUUCUCAAAGCUACGUCUAACUGUUUUUUUAAUAACUGAAGUUACUGAAGGUCUGUUCCAAGAAUCUUCAUUUUCAGUAAACCUGUUACAGAAAAAAAUAAAAUUAAAUCAAGAUUACUACAUAUUAACUCUUAAUUAACAAGACUAACAACAAAUCCAACUGAUACAUACUUUACAAACGUGUUUCUUUUGAGAUUCAUCAUCUCCAUCUACUCUUGUCUUCUUCAAAAGAUUCUCAAACCUGUGAAAAUAAAAAUAAAAAAUAUUAUCCAUUUUUCUUUUAUUAUUACCCCGUUUUGAAACUCCAGUAACUAAUAAAGACCCAGUAAAAUAAACAGAGUAAUUUGACCAAAAGAAAGAAACUUCAAGAUAGAAGCAAGCAAACCUUGAUUUAAGAGGAGGGAUCUAUAGUGUUUAUUCACCAAACUGAUGUGGUUCUUGGAGGAUGAGCUUAAAGAUUAGCCGACAGGAAUAUUAAAAAAAAGGAAGAAGGAGUACAUCUAUUCCUGAAAUGGAAGGAAGUAAAGAGAAGGGGUUGAAGGAUAAUGAUGUUCUAAUUUAGUCGAGGUGAUGAUGAUAUAGUAGUACUAGUUUGAGUUUAUGCAGAGUUAUACAUUGUUUGAAAACAGAGCUGAUGAAGAUCCGAGUCUGGAUGUGGAACACAUAGAAAUGACAGAGGUAUAUAAUAGUAAUAAUUGUAGGAAAAUGAAAAGAUGAGAUGACUUUUGACGAAGACUCAGUCAGUCAACCCCCAAAAACAAAAAUAAAAAAUAACAAAACAAUUCCAAAUUGGUUUUUUCUUGAGACGAAUAAAGGGUAGAGAAAAUUAAUAUCAUAUCUAUAUAUAGUAUGAUCAUUAUUUACGUAGUUAUUGUUUGGAUGUUGUACACACACCAACUCAUCAUUUCUGGACGUACAACACACACUCAUGAGCCAUGAUGAAGAAUGGCUACAGUAGUACUCUCUAAUUCUCUAUUUUCUUUAUUGCAUUCUGUGGAUAUUUUUGUUAUGCAUUUUCAGUCUUGGUCGUGGGAUUAAUUUUAUGAACUUUGUAUCUGAAUUCUUGAAGCCACAAACGUUGAUUAGUUUAGUCUACAUAUAUUCCAAGAAAGAAUCAAUUAUUUUAAAACCUCAGGGUUUGAGGUUUAGUACACUUGAGGAGACUUUUCAAUCUUUUUUUGGGGUAAGUAAGACGUCAUUUUCUCCUCUAAAAAAACAAAACUAGUAAAGAGGAAAGAGAUGAGAUACUCAGUGAUGCGUAGUUGCAUUAUGAACGGUCCACAGGAAAAUGGAGGAAAUUGAUAUAGAUAACUGAGACAUAUUAUACAAUGAUAAUGGUCUCUACAAUGCUUACUCAUUCUCAAAAUAAAAAAAAAAGGUGCAAAUACAACUUAAAAAGCUGACCACUACUAACCAAUUAAUCUUUUAGUCUAAUUUAUUAGCCUUCAACAGAGAUCAUGAAACCCCUAUGAUUCAUUUUUGGAGGUUUUCUAUAAUAUUCUGAAACGCUAGGAACCACCAGUAACACCUUCCUUGCUUGCUUCCAGUUGAUCAGAUUAUCAUGGCUUGAUUAAGACUUGAGAUUACAGUAACUAAGGCUUGUCUUCAUCUGACUGAGGACAUGAAGGCCCUGGGAUCGAAUCCACAAAGAACUCCUCUACACAAUACAGUGGGGGAAACGAACAAGAUUGGUUAGUGAAUGAUCACAUAACAUGAAAGAAACAGAUUCAGAUUUUGAUAUGUUUACCUAUGUCCUCUUGUUCCGGAGAAUCAAGUAAAAUCUCUGAAUCAGAUGGUAGAAAUGGGGAACCAGGAUAGUUUCCUAAGGCUCCUAAAUCUGUAAAUCACAAGAUCUUCAUUAAUCAGACACUAAACAUCAAUGCAGCUACUUGCAUUAACUAUGUUUCUAUAAAAAGAACAUAUACCUCCAAGAUUUGACAAAUCAGCAGUGAGAUCAGAGAGGCUAAAGUUCCAAGGAAUCUGAUCAAAAGGCCUCAGGUUGUCUCUGGAAUUACCAGCUCCUCCAUCUGGUCCAAGCUGCAACCCAACUGAAGUCCCCACAUCAGAUGUGAAAGCAGAAUCAAGAGCUGACGUGUCCAUCCCCAUCCCUGACAUAUCUGAAGCAGCAAAAGGGAAGUGUCCACUUGACGCCACGGAAGCUGGACUCACUGGCAUCUCCGACACUGAUGACAUGCCAUUGUUUGGUGGAAUCAUUGGAGGAGUUGGAUCAGCCGCAGUUGUAUCUAUUACCAUACUACACAACAAGCACCAAACACACAACAAUAAGGAAUCAGAAACAAAGACUUGCUAAGACUAAGUUAAUGUUGGUUCUUACUCAUUCCCUGAGUUCAUCCUCAUUGGUUGGAAGUUCCCAGGUGCAGGGACUCCAUUAACCACGUGGCAGCUUGACAUCCCCAUUGCAUCAAUAUGAGGAUGGCCUGGAACAUGCAUUUGAGGAUGUUGUAGUACUGGGUAUCCCAUUGGCAUGUUGUUAACUGCGCUACAAACCUCUAGUGUUAAAUAACAGUGAAACACAAAUACUCCCUCCUACACUUCGUUUUAACUUUUAAAUUUUGUUUAUCGUUUUACAUUUCCAAUGCAUAUUUUAAACAGUUUUUCCAAAUUUUACUCUUAUUUUUAAUUCACUAAUUAAUAAAACCAAACAAAAAAUUAUAUUAAAUAGGAGUAAAACAGAUCUUAAUUCGUGUGCAACAACCUUAAACGGCUCUCAUUAAGAGAGAGAGAAGGAGUAAUAAAAAGAUGUUUGUGAGUGAUAGAAGUGAGUCAGACUUACCAGGGGCCAUAGGAUGAAUCCCAUUCUGCAUUGGGACCAAUGGAACCUUAGGAUGAACAGGAUACUUCAUGAGGUGAUACUGGUGCUCAAGCAAGUGAUUGAACACAAUUAUCUGCUUCUUCAGUUUCAGUCUGAUGUAAUAAGCUCUGAAAAAAUCUGCAUUCUCUUCUUCCAGUUUCUGCCAUACUAAAGUUGUGAAACCAGGGUCAAUUCUUGCACGGGUCAAGAGGGUCUUCACCACCUCAUCUCUGUUCAUGUACAGCUGAAGACAUCUCUCUAUCAAAUUUUGGACCUACACAAGAAGAAGAUAUCAUGAACAGACACACACACAAGUAUAUAUAUAAGAGAAGGAAGGUGAAGGUGAGCCAAAGUUCAACUUACGAGUUCAAUAUCUUGCCUUGAAACUUUCCUACCGUCAUUACUUGAGGCAGAGACAGAGCCAGAGUCUUGUAUAGGAGCUUCUAAUGACUGGUUGUUCUUCUGUUCGCCUUGGGAGUCAUGUGAAACUUGUGUAGAGGACUGCAUCUCCUGUGUGCUCUGCAAAUCCCAAUAAAACCUUUCUCUUAAUCCAAAGUAUGUUUACCAAUGUUUACCAAAAAAAAAAAAAGUAUGUUUACCAAUGCUGAAGUAGCUAGCUACAACCUUUCUUUACAGUCAACUUUCUUUAUAUGUUGGUCCAACUUCCUAUAUAUGUAAGCAUUGACCUAAUCCUGAGAUUUUAUUACUGUUUAGAGACAUAAAAAUAAUCUUUCAAUUGGGAAACAUCUCAAAAAAAAAAAAAGGAAAGAGCAAAAUAGAGAAAGUUGCAAAACUAUCUCACAGUUUUCAACAGAGAAUACACUAAAGACAAAGAAAACAUUAUAACAAUAAAGAAAAAGAAAGUGGUAGACGAACCUGGCCGUUCUUCAUUAGAGUUGAAUAUAAACUAAUUCAGUAACUAACAAGUAAUCUCCUUAACAAUGUUCCAUCUGGACAAGCAUAUUUCUGAUGUAUGUUUGACCAAAAUACAAAACCUGUAUUGACAUAAACUGUUUAGUUAAAUCUCAUCAUGUAAUAAAAGAAUGAUUAGAAAAAUAAAGCAUCAUGAAAAGGUGAGUUCUUUAAACAUUGUUUAAUAGUAAUCUAAAUGCCACUUAGGCAACGCACACUCAUCCUUAAUUAAAAAUCUAUUCUCCUUAACAAUGUUCACAACAAGCAACAUCUGGGCAAGGAUGUUUCUAAUGGGUUUUGGCAAAAUAAAAACCUGGACUGAUUAUAAACUGUAUAGUUAAUUCGUUAUCUUAUAAAAGAAUGAUUAAAAAACGCAUCUUUGAAACUGCUAAUGAUAAGGAGCAUGGAAAAAAGUGAGUAAUUAAGCAUUGUUUAAUAGGAAUCUAGACACCCACACACUACAGAAUCUUAAGUAAAUAAUAAAAUAAUUCAUACAGUCAAACACAGAUACACCUAACUGGCUUCAAACUACAAGUACACACAAAAACAAAAGGUCUCUUGCUUUUGGAAUCAUCAACUCUAAUAAAGAACGAAACUUUACUAUUCAGACAGCAAAUCGCAAUCUGCAAGUUAGUGUGAAUCUAAACCCUAAUAGAUUGUUACCAAAAGCAUGAGUUUAACGAAUCUAAGAAACCAAACAGAUCUAGUAGAGUUGCUGAUUUUCUCAGCUUUUUGUUUGUUUCUUGUUUUGAUACCUUAAAAAAACAAAGUGUAAAAGAAAAAAACAAAGAAACACGACCAAGAUUAUCCGACAAGAACCAACAAAGUCUUCUCCUCACCUUAAUAUUCAGACCGAACUCAAACCAAAAUGGUAACACUUCCGACAGAGGUUUUAUCGACGAGUUUUUGAGACUGGGAAGAAGUUCUCUCGAAGGAGAUAACGAAAUCUGAACCUGAUUUUAAAGAGGAGUCUGGAGAAGUUCGUUUCAAGCAAAGAUCUGGGCGUGUUUUCUGAGAGGGAGAAGAUAAAAGAAGAAACACCAAAGAGAAAGAGACAGCGAGAGAUUUCGAUUCUACGCCAUUACAGAUAAUAAGCUGAACUCAACAACCCUCAAGGAGAAGAAGGAGGCAAGGGAGCAGUAGAACAAGAAGAGAACCGCGAGAGAGAAAGGGAAAAGAGAAUCUCACCAUAAUUAAUUUCAUUUAUAGUCUUUAUUAGUUACCACUUACGACCCACUAAUUACUACAUAUUGUCUUCUUUCUUUUUUUUACUUUUAACUAAGCUUUAAAUAGUCAGUGAAAAAUAGAAGAAAAAAUUACGGCUUCCAAGGGUAGCUUGGCUCGGCUUCUUCACUGACCAAAAAAAAUGGAAUUAUAAAUUUACUGUUGUAACGAUGCUUAUGAAUUUAUUUUUUUUUUUUUUUUUUUUUUUUUUUGUAAAUUUGCUUAUGAAUUAUAAGAAAACAAAUUUUUGGUUGUAACGGUGAAAAAGUAGCCAAUACUCUUUCACACCAGGCAGUGUGUCUCACAAUACUCGAGAUAGCGUUUUAUAAAAUGAUGCAUCCUGGUUAGUAUUUAUUUUGCUAUAAUGUUUUAAAAUGCAUCUAAUUCCAGUUAAGUUUAAACGGUACAAGAAAUGUAAUAUGUAUAACAGCUAGUGAAAGGUAAUUGCUAAGCUGGUGAGGUGUUGGAUGUUACGAGAUGGCAUGGACCUCCCCACUGUACUAUACUCUCAGUCUCCGGGAAUAGCAUCUCUUUAUUUCUCUGUUUUUAUUGUAUAUCUCUUUAGGACCACUUUUUAUUAUUUUUUGUAAUUUUCUAACAAGAAAAUGUUGAAAAGAAUCAGAAGAAAUAUUAUAUCAUAUCAUACCCAAGAUCUCUUGAUUGCGAGCUUAUGGUAUUAUUUUCUUUCUUUUUUGUUUGUAAAUGAUAUACAGACAUGCAUGUCCACGUUAUGUUAAUUUUUCCUAGUGACUUAUAUAAUUCUGCUUGAAUAGUUGUCUUCACCUAUGUUUGUAUGUCAUUAUACAUAUGCUAUCAUAAAGUAUCCCCUUUUCACUAGUGGGUGUUCUUAUUUGGUAUAAAAUUACUAUUAAGAGAUUUAGUUAUAUUAUAAAUACCAAAGCUUUGGAGAUACUAAAUAUGUGCUUAUGUAUAAAAAAAUACAUGUGCAGGACUUUAGUUUUCAACAUAGAUGUAUUGAGAUAAAUUUCAAAUCUAGAACCUUGUCUAUAUCUUAAUUUUCUCAGUAGUAUUUAACUUUUGAAACGUUUCAAAUUAAUUUGUACUCUUUUGAAGACACUUAUCGCUUGUAACUUGUGACUUUGUAGUUAUCAGCAAGUCGGUAUUGAUUGUUUUUGGCAUUUAUUCAAUAAAAGUUGAAUUAUUAUUUCUAAUAAUUUCGAGCAUUACAACUGACGCCGGCUAAGGAGCCGUCACGAGCCACGCACUUGACCCACGUGAACCCAAUUAAAAACAAUGUAACUAGUUUAACAAAAACGCAUGAAGUUAAUGAAACAGACACAUUCGCUUCACCAAUUACGCUCAGUUCCAUUAAUCCGCUGGACCCACCAAAUAAAAAUUAAGUUUCGUCACGGAAAGUUUUUUUUUUUGCUUAAGGUCAUGAUCCAUUAAUAACACGACACGUGUAAUGCGUUUGCCGGAGAAGUUAACGUCGGAGAAGCUGGCCGCCGCGUGGCAUAUAUAUGCUGACAAACUCGGAAGAGAGCGGUCACUGACACGUGGCAGUAAAGGAGAGGAAGAGCGNNNNNNNNNNNNNNNNNNNNNNNNNNNNNNNNNNNGAAGAGCGUGGAGUGUGCUUGACCAUUUAUCGCCUUGGGAUUUGAGACUUUUUAAAGGGUUAAAUUGGUAAGACAAGUCAACACUUUGAUAAUUUUUUUCCUUUACGUAAACGGAGUCUGUGUUAGUUCUUCUAACCACGUAAACACUUUCUUUAAACCGUCCAAUAAAAAUAAUUAAAGAGUGAUUGAUUGAUACGUGUAUGGUUUAAGCACCUAAAGAUCCUGUUAUAGAGACAUAAAGUAUCUUUUCCAAAACUUGGGAUAUUAGUUAAUAAUAGUAUAAUAUUAUAUACAACAAGUUCACCUUGAUAUAUAUGUCAUCGGACGAUAUGAAUGUAGUGUAUACAAGAAAACUAUAUUAUAGCAGUCUUAUAAUAUCGUAAUGAACUUGUUGCUAACACUGCGAGGUGGUGUUUACAUUAAUUUUACUUCCCCACAUGGAGACCUAUAUAAUAUAAAUUAAAGCUUUAUAUACGAAACAAAAGGAGGGCAUGCAUGGGCAUGAUGGAACCUGAAAAUAAUGGAGUGGAAAGGGAGGAACCGAUCGAGAGGACCUUCUAGCUAAAGUUUUGUCCUUGUCUACAGAGAAUUUACCUUAACAAAGACAACUCAAAUUGAUAGGCAUCCCAUGGACGGACCCAAUAUUAUUACUCUUAUUUUUAAUAUAAAAUCUAAGCAAGGAAACAUGUAAAUGUCUUUAUAUCUUGCACUAUAAUGCAUAAUCCAGUAGAUGUCAGUGUCAUACUCAAUGAGAGACCUCCUUUCACCUAAACACUAAUGGGCUUUUUAGUAUGGGCUCAGCUGCACAGAAGGGUCGAUAGCACUUCUAAACAAACAUAAAGACCCAUGUAUUUAUAAGGCCAACAUAUAACUUCGUUAAGGAAAAAAACAUAUAGCUUGUGACACACAACAUUUACCAUACAGUUUUUUUUUGGGUCAAACCAUAAACAGUUUAACUUGUCAUUUAAAUACGAGGUACAUACACUCAUCAAUGUUUGGCCCAUGUAUUUAUAAGGCCAACAUAUAACUUCGUUAAGGAAAAAACCAUAUGCUUGUGAGUUGUGACACACAACAUUUACCAUAGACAGUUUUUUUUGGGUCAAACCAUAAACAGUUUAACUAUUAAAUACGAGGUACAUACACUCAUCAAUGUUUGGCAUGUUUCGUUUUCGGUUUUCAAGUCAUCUCUAUAAUGUUUUGGAUCAUGCAUUGAAAAAUGACAGAUCGUAGCUAGAGCAGCUAUUCAUCUUUAUAGACACUUCAUCUCUUAUACGCAUUCUGAAAAAAAAACUGAAAACGCAUUUUAUCUCAUAUACUAUUCUUCAAUAGACCUUUUGAUUUUGAUUAGAUAUCAUAUAACCCCACGUGAUCAAUAUUUGUUGUUAGAUACUUGUCUGAUUCAUGCCUUUUUAGAAUCAAAUAUUUAUAUAGAAACUAUAAUGUGCUUCUUUUCUCCGCAUCUCACUCCAUUUGGUCUAAUUCCAUAUGUGACAUAAUAAUAAAGAGAUAAAACCCUUGAAAAUAUAGAAUUAGUCCGAUCUCGAGAUGCGGUUAACGCGCAUAUUUGUAAUCAAUAUUAUGUUCAAUUAAUUAACAAAAAUAAAUACGUUACAGAAUCACAUAGGACCACGCAAAGAACUCACAAGUCACAACCAUUCAGUGCCGUGCCCACUUUUCAUGCCAUCAGACCAAAAGAAUAUAUGAAAAAUACAGAAGAUUUGUUCUCGUGAACUAGCUAUAAUUCUCUUUACUCCCUUUUCCUGUUCUUUUUCCUCUCUUAUUUGAUUAUAAUACUAUUCUUUAGUUUGGUGUUUUGUUCCACCAAACUUUCCUCUUAUAUCAAACUUUCAAAUGGAAUGUCUGAGAAUUUGGUUGGACAAGAAUCCCUAGUGUUAUUAUUAUCAACUAUCAUCAACUAAGUGUUGUUUUAAAUUUUUCAAUUUCAUGCACUAUUUAUAUAAGAAAAUCUUUGUAUUCGCCUAUUUCUUAAUGUAAGUUGUAAAUAUUAAUUCAUUUAAACCCAAGAUUAUUAUAGCAUAUAAGAAUAACAUAUUGGUAGAUGCAUAUUAGUCUUUUCCAAAGUCAAACACAGGGAAGCUCCUUCCUUCAUCCAACUGUCUGUAAAAGACCAAAUUUACAACCGCAAGUCAAAGGUUUAAAGAUGUUUAUUAAAUACACACAAAUAUUUUAAAAAUAUUUAUGGUUGUAUCUGUCGUUCUUCUCUCUGAUGAACGAGGCCGUUGAAGCAACACACAGUGCAAAACUACAGUCUACAGAUUCGUUUUUUCCUACUCAUCGCAUUAAAUUAAUUAUUAAACAGUAUAUUUGAAUAAUUGAGUAUGGUAAUAGUAAUAAAUAAUUAUUCUAGGAAUUAAUCAGACAUGCGCAGUUAUAAAAUAACCUGUCUAGUUUUCAAUUCUUUUCCGAUCCCCUCUCUCUCGCUCUUUCCUUCGAGGAACACAAGAAAGAGCUAUUAAUAACCUCUCUUUGUGUUUGUGUCGAAGACGACAUAUUGUUUGAUCUUUGUUGUUCCGACAAGACGGGAAAAUGGAUAGACGACGUCGGAGACACAGCAAGGCCAAAGCUUCGUGUUCCGAAGGUGAACAUCUUUCUCUCUCUGAUUAUAUCUCUGUCUUUCUUUGGUUCGAGUAUGAUUUUUGAUCGUUAGCAGAAGUAAGUAGCAUCGAAUGGGAAGCUGUGAAGAUGUCGGAGGAAGAAGAAGAUCUCAUUUCUCGGAUGUAUAAACUCGUCGGAGACAGGUAAGCUGUUCGUUUCUAUAUGAAUCUUUUAUUACUUCUUCUAGUAUUAUAUUAUUGGAUCGUAACAUGACUACGUCCAGCCUCAGUGUUGAUUCAGAUUGUUUAGCAAACACACAUUCUUACUUAUAGUCUAUAAUGGAAUUCAAAAUGUUUCCUCGAAUUUGGUUUGGUUUAGUUUGAUUUUGAUAACGGGAAUGUUUGUAAAUAAUUGAGAUUGUCCAUAGUAUUUCGGUUUGGUCCAGAUAUGUUAAACCAGAUUAAAAAGUUUGGUUGUGUAACUUUUGUAAAACUUUUUGAUGGUCUAUAUGUGUAGGUGGGAAUUGAUAGCCGGAAGGAUUCCUGGGCGGACUCCGGAAGAGAUCGAAAGAUAUUGGCUUAUGAAACACGGUGUUGUUUUUGCCAACAAACGAAGAGAAUUUCUUAGAAGAUGAUUUUUGUAUUAAUUAAAAGAUUUGUCAUCUUCUGAAUAUUCGCAUGACAAGGAAAAACUAAAAGCAGAUGUUGUUUUAAUUUACUAGUUUUUAAUGUAUAAUUAAUUUCUAUAUAUAAAAAAAAUUCUUAGGAGCUUCAAUAUUUUUUUUAUCAUCGGUUGACAUCCCUAUAAAUGAGUUUCAACAACAUUUCUGCGUAGGCGAAUUCUUUAAUUGAACCACCCUUCAAAGUUCAAAUUUAUUAUUCGUAUUAUUAUUUGUUAGUGGACAGAAAUUUUGAAUAAGCUAGAAAAUAUGGGCUAGUUUGUAAGCCCAUUACUCUGUCUCAAAGAGGAAACCAUACCUCAGGGCCGAAAUGAAGCCCAUUCCUCACUUGAGAUUUCUUAGACAUGCAUGCCGUUUGAAUAUUUGAUUCACAGCAAUUAUACGUUCUAGGUGUAGCCUCCCUUAACAAAAAGAACAUUAAUUCAGUGGCAUAAGUCGAAUGUAAAAUGCAAAGAUUCCUUUUGAUCAGUCUAAUUUUUGUAUAAACUGGAUUUGUCAAAUGAUUCAAAACUAUAUAAAAAUGUAGUACUUUAUGAUUUUAUUCCGAAAAUUCUCAUACAUCUUAUUACUUUCUACAAGUAGAGUGUGCUUCUAUAUAUUAAAAGAAUCUAUAUAAUUAUGUGACCGUGUAGAUUUAAUGUUGAUUGUUGCCCAUAGCGAUGCUGAAAAACCCGACAACCUUUAAUCUUUAGACAAAUACAAUUAAAGUGUUAAGAUGUUUUCCCACGUGCUUAUCGAAAAAGACUCUUGUGUGUUCACACUUGGCGUGGCUAACACUGCUGAAUUAUAGUGGUUUGUUGGUAUUAUUGGUACUAUUAUUUUAAAUUAACUAAUCCGUGAACUCGGAAUAUAUGAUUUCAGUUUGUCACCUCGGUAGGUAAUCAACAAAUUUGAUCUGUGGAUUUGAUUUGUAAUAAAGUUCCAAUACUCUCCUAUGGGUUUGACCUGUAAUUUUUGAAAUGAUAUAAUUGUUUUUAACAAUUAUUCAUAGUUUCAAGCAAAAAUAAAUAAAAAUUUAUCCAAAGUAGAGCCUUAUCCGUGGUAAAAACCAAAGGAAACAAAAAAAACAAAGGAAGAAAAAAAAUCUACAUAUUUACUUUAUCAAUCACUAAAACUAAAGUUGUUUCAUAACACACUUAAUUGUUUCAUAACACACUUAAAAAAAUCUACAUAUUCUCCAAAGUUGUUUCAUAACACACUUAAACACGUUUUUCAUCAAUCCUAAGAAUAAUUGAAUUAUAAUAUAAAGCAGUGUUUUGGAAAAGAUUAAAAAGUUAAAACAAAAGAUAUAAAAACGAAAACCAUAGAUCUUCCUUUAUCAAACAAGUUCAAGCUGCUCUUAUGUACUGUGUACAUAUGAUAUUUUGAUCGAUGUGAUGUGACCGUGUGGGGUUUAAAAGGGUAGGUUCACGCACCGAUAAGGCAUUUCUUGGAAAUUACCAGGUACUUUACAAAAUUUCACUGAAAUUUCAGUUUUUUUUGUACAUAUUAUCCUUAUCAAAUACCAUUUUUACGUGGAUCUCCGUCUAUUCUGAAUUUCAAAUGUCUCUUGGUUCUUAUCCUCUCUGUUGAUAUGAAAAUAUUGUGUUUGGAAGUUCCGUUUUCUUAAAGAAACCAUCACUAAAAUUACACAUUUAAUUUGGCGCAUUUUGUGUGGUUUACCAAAUUGUCGCACGCAGCAUAAUUAACAGAUAUAAAUUUGGUUUGAGGUCUUCCAACUUUGGAUCAUCAUUUCUGUAUGAGUGCCAGUCCUUGACCAUGACGACAUAUCGAUACUCGAAUCGUUCCCUUUCAAGUUGAAGAUAAGUUAAUUUAAUGAACAUUGAUUUAUGGCUAAAAUACUUUAAAACUUGAAACUAUCUUCUAAUCAAUUACAUAAAUAUGAAUCAAUCAUAUAAUAUGGAUGUUAAGUAAGCUACAACCUGGUGGAUGAAUUCAUUAAAAAGGUAAUAUUAAACGAACACAAGCAUAUAUAUAAUUAGGAACCACUGCAUUGAGACUAAGUUUAAAUCAUGUCUUGUUGUUUAUACUCGUUGGAUGUUAUCAAUCCCAAGUAACAACAACGCACAGCUUGAAUACUUUAAACCACUAGUCAUAUAGUCCAUUUGUGUUUGAUUAGUUAAUUUAUAAUUAUGAAUAAAGUAAUUAGUCCAUGUGCACGUAUAUGUGUCUCUCCACGAUCAGUUUACUUAAAUGAUAUGAGAUUAUUAUCUAUUCGUUUGAUCAGACGCGUAGGAAAAAGAGUAGACGCGUUGCAUAGAUUAAACAUCCAGUUGAGAUAUAAAUGUAAUCUUAUUUAGUGAGCCUCUAUCUACCAGCAGCCUCUAAUCGCUAACUUUCAAAAAAAAUCAUUAGUUUACUUUUGACUCAGAAAGCUACAAGGUUGAUAACCGAGAACCAUAGAAUAUACAGUAAUGUGGUUAUAUUAAUAGUUUCUACUAUUCAUCGUAUACACAUAUUAUACUGUACGAUGAACAUGCCAAAUGCAUAAAGCCAUACUCAAUAAAGUACCUAGCAUUUAAUUUUGUUUUGUAUCAUUUUGUUCAGUUAUAUGUAUUCAAAUGGUAGAGAUUGGUGAUUUUUAUAACACAUGGAGGAUGGAUCAUUAAGAACAAAAAGCAAUACGUCGCUGUUAAUCGUGUGAAAGGGAGAGAGGCGCAUUAGUAUAUUCUCUAAUCCACACCUGCAUGGUUAGAUUUGAUCCAUACUCCAUAGAUUCUUGAAUUUACUUUUAGGGUAAUAUAGUCUUGAUCUUUGACCCACCUACAAAAACAUAAUUAGCUUUUGGCUAAAAAGAAGCAUAAGUAGUUACAUAAUCAACAUCAUACGUACAAUGUCUUAUAUUAUUUUAAUUAAUCGAAUAACUAGAAUGUAAAACUAUGACUAUAAGUGAUCAAAUUGGCAUGACAUCACCCGUCCUUACGUCACUGGAAACCAAAAUUAAUAAAUUGAACCGGAUAUGUAACGCGGUAAGACUUAUUGAAGAUGAUUUUUUUUGGCAUCACUUUGAAGAUGAUUGUUUAUUGGUUUACUCGGCUGAAAAUUUAUAGCCACCAAAUAAUAACCAAAUAAUUGAAUUAUAAAAAAUUCAUUUUAAAAGAAAUAUAAUAAAAUUAGAUAAACUGAUUGAGUGAGACUUCAUCAAACAUGGGUUCUAUUGUGAUCAGGGAGAGAUAGUUGACACUUUAUUGAUUACAUAUUAUAUGUAACUCAUAUGAUCAAUAGUUGAAUCCAAAAAGAUUAUAAAUCUAAAAUUUACACUUAUAUAUGUUAAGUUUAGUAAGUAGAUGAUUUGUGUUUCUAAAUAAAAAUCAGAUACUAGUAACCACAACUUCAUCCGUUCUUUUUCUUUAUUAGCAUUUUGAGAAUAAUUGUAGUUACCUUUUUUGUCAAUUUCUCUACAAGAUCCUUUGUCUUUUCCACACAGCUUCUUCUUGACUAAGCUUAAAAACAAAAAAAGAAAAAAAAAUAACAAAAAGAAAACAAAACUUAUUGGGCAAGCAGAAGGACAUAAAGCCACAUCACAAUAGAUUCUUAUCAUCAUUCGUUUAUAUAAAUACACACGAAACUCACAUAUCAUCAAACUCACUCAAAAAAAGAAAUACAGAGAAUUCAAAAAAAAAGAAAAGAUUCUUGUAAGUGAAAGCAAAGAUGGUGAUGGAAGAGAAACUCGUGAUCAACGAACUGGAACAAGGGAGAGAGCUUGCCCAACGUUUGAUGAGCAAUCUCAAAGACACUUCCUCAAUCGAAUCCAGCAAGAACUUGAUCUCUGAGAUCCUCAGUAUCUACCAGAAUGCUAUUUCCAUGUUAGACGACAAGAAGGUCCUUAAACGUAGCCGUGAGAUCGAUGACAAAGAUUCUAAGAACGUGAUAAAAAAGAGGUAAACAGAGUUCAAAAGAGUUAUUUUUUUUGUAUGUGUUUGUGUUUCAAAAUUGAGAUCUCAUGUGUGUUUUUCUUUGUGAUUUGCAGGCAAGUGUUUGAGAAGAAGACAGAGAAAGUUAGUUUCUUUGUCGGAGCAGGACAAGAAAAGGGUUCCAUUGAUGAUGGUUAUUGCUGGAGAAAGUACGGUCAAAAAGAGAUUCAUGGAUCCAUUAAUCCAAGGUAUUAUUAUUAAUCAUCAAUUAUCAUCAUUUAAUUUUAAAUUUUUUUGUCUUAGCAAAAAAAUUUAAUUUAUUUUUUUGUAUUUUCUUGAAGAUUUGCUAACGUAUUCUGUUUUCUGUUAUUUACAGAGGAUAUUUCAGAUGCACGCAUCGAUUCACACAGAACUGUUUAGCAGUGAAGCAAGUCCAAAAAUCAGACAGAGAUCCUUCCAUUUUCGAAGUGAAGUAUGUCGGGAGCCACACUUGUAACAACACUACUACGUCCCCAAAGACACCGAACUUCUCUAUUUCGAUGUUCCAACAAGAAGACAUCAAACCGACGAAAACAGAGGAAGCGAUGAUGAGUCUUGAAGAUCUCGAGAGCACUAAGAACAUUUUCAGAACGUUUUCUUUCUCCAACUACGAGAUUGAGAAUGCUGGUGGUGGUUGGAAAGGCAACCUCUUCCAUGAGGAUCAGCUGUCUCCUGCUGCGACUACGUCAGGGUCUGGAAUCACCAGCGAGGUUGCAACAGCUCCUGCUUCCGUUGAGAACUCGGAGACUGCAGAUUCGUAUUUCUCGUCUUUGGACAAUAUUAUCGACUUUGGACCGGAUUGGUUGCUGUCGUGUGACGUUUUGAAUUGGUGAAUGUGAUAUUAAUGUGGUGGUAGUAAUUAAAUAGAUGAGUGUAAUAUUAGGAUUAGAUUUAUAUUUUUUGCUGAUGGAUAUAGACUGGCUUUAAUCAAUAGGGAGGGGUUUGUUGAUUCUCAUUGAAGUUUAAUGGUUCUUGAUGAUAAAUUAAUAAAUAAAAUGUUACUAUUAAAGUUUACAAAUUGAUCAUUUUGGAGAUAAAAAUUAUAAUGUUUUGUUUUAAACACUGAAUCAUUCAUUAUAAUGUAAGACCAUGUUUAUCCGGUUUCUAAAUUUUUUUUUUUGUCUUAUCUGCUUUAUUAAAAAAAAAAAUUAAAAACGAGCCAAUCGCAGAACGUCAUGUGUCGGUAAGGCCCGCGAAAAGUGCAAUAACCCACAAAUUAUCGAUCCUUAUUUCAUAUCUUUUGUUACCGAUUUUUGCCUCUGGGGUGAGACCCACGCGUUAAAACCUCUCUUAUAAUCCCCCGAUAAACGUGCUCUAAGUCGUGGAAGCACCGUAGCCUAUUGGUUAAGGUUUAAAGGCUUCUACAUCCAGGUCUGAGGUUCAAAUCCCAGACUAUGCAAUUUAUUGCAGAUUACAGGAAAUCCAGGUUUCAAGUCCCGGAGAGAGCGGUUUAUUAAACAAUUAUGCAGACUAUAGAGGAAAGGCUUGCAAGGGAUCUUCAACAUGGUGCAAGUAAAUCUGGCCAGGCGUGGAUCUUCAUAGGACGGCUCAGGUGAUGCAGUUAGGCGUAGGUCUUCAUAAGGCAGGUAGUAUUGUCGGUUGUCGAAUCGUCUAUGUAAUAUUUCUUAUAUCAUAAUUGUAAGAUCAUAAUAAAUCAGCGUUAUAAAAAAAAAACGUGCUCUAAGUUGCGGACCAAAUUGGUCGUAUAAUGUUUUGUAAACCAAAGAAAUGCAAUUAGGAAGUAGAAAAAAGAGAGUUUCAGACAGUAAAAAUAAAUAAUUUAACUGAUCAUAUCUUAGGUACAAUGGGCCUGAGCCCAAUAAGAAAAAUAACAGCCCAAUCUCAUAUUAAUAACAGAGAGAAGUCGUUAGAAUCUGGUAGAUAGCCGGAGAAGAGACGCACAACGAAGAAGAAGAAGAAGGAUGAUAUACCGAAAGUGGAGUUUGCUUUCCGGUCCACCGGUUAUCCUCGGCGGAGCUGUAGUUGCCGCGAUCGCCGUCGGCAUCGUCUUACAGAACGUAUAUUCCCGCUCCAUCUCUUUUUGUUUGGAUCCUUUUUUUUUAUAACAGAGAUCCGUAACAGUCCGUUAGAUCUAUAUCUUGAUUAGCUAGUAAUUGAAAGGAACAGUCCUCUGAUCGAAAGUUGGUCCAAAGAUUUGAUUUUUUUAAUGAUUAGGUUACGAAAGGGGAGCAAAAGAAGAAUGUCUCACCAAACAAAUGAGAUCAUGGAUAAUGAGAAGAAGACGCUACACUACACAAGUGUGAGUUGAAACGUUUUUUAGUUCAUGGAGUGUUUGUUGUAAGCUCAAUAAUGCUUUUGAACACACAGAUCCUUUUGUGUCCGUUUUAAGUUUCUUGUUGCUAAUAAUAAUAAUAAUAAUUCAUUUUGCACAUUGAUUGAUAACAAGGCUCUCUAGAGUAAGUACAAAGUUUUAAACUUAGAAUGCUUGUGAACAUUUCUUCAUGCAUAUCUUCUUGGAACUCUCAUCCCGAACCCACGUUUUAGCUUAUCAACCCUGAGACCAUGUAAGCAUCAACCUCAGAUAACAUAUAAAGUUAAAGGCAAAAGAGAUAAGACUAUUGUGGAAAGCUUACGUUGGGGCGAGUUUGCCAAGACUCUUUAGCUCUUCACCUGUAUCUUCGUCUAUGACUCUCCCUGUGAUGUAAACAGUGUAGGAUCGAUCUCUGUCCCUAGGGAGACCUCUGGCAAUCAGCAAGCGCAGGUCUUUCUCGUGAAGCUCUCUUCCGUUCACAAACACUCGUGUGUUUCCUCCAGCACAGUUCUCUGGCAUUGGGUAGUUGAGCUCUUCAAUAAAAGGCUGUAAGAAAAGGAGUCACGCCACGUUAAGAAGAAGAAGCUGUAGAGAGACUGAAGAGUGAUGUUUACCGGUAAUAUUCCAAGACAUUGACCUCCCAUUACUCCCCAGAACCCAGCUCUGUAGUCAUACCUGAUACCAAGGAGGAGAAGAUAGCUUAGUAAAUGAGAAGAGUUUACGAGAUUGGAGGGACCUCGUGUACCAGUAGUUUCCUGGCCGGAUUGGUUCUGCUUGCUUCUCCGCCAUUUUCACCAGACGUUCAGCUACAAGAUGCCCAUUCACCAAAACAUCACUUCCCCCUUCGUUCUGCAUUGACUUCUUUAGAUCCUUGAAGCUACUUUUCACCAUACUCGCGAAUCCACCCUUCCUGGUUCUUCCAUCCUCUUCUAUAUAUUCAUCUGCAGAGUCUUGAGACACUCCAUUGUUGUGAGAGUAGUCAUUAACAUCCAUCUCGAUUAGAACCGAAGCUUCUUUCAUAGAGUUCUGUCUCUUGACUGUCUUGCUUAGUGUCACCCUGUUCUGUUCUGAACGAGAGCUUUGGCUCCUUGCACCAGACCGGUCCCUUGCAUUGAUGGAAGAGUAGUCAAAGGGAAAAUCUGGAAUGAGUUUCCUGUCUGAACUUAGCUCGUCUUCAGAGAAGCUAGGAGAAGCAGGACCAGUUGAUACAUAGUCUGGUCCUCUAUCCGUUGCAUCAGAAGAGAUGUCAAGAGCAGUUAACCAAUGCAGCCUACUGAGAGUUUCUUCUUCUUCUUCUUCUCCUCUUGCUGAAGCAUGAUCAGUUGAGAGGAUGAGUUUCUUAUUAUUAGCAAAGGAGAAAUCUAUCAAACAAGAACACGCUCCGCAGCGCAUUCUCUGUUGCUUUCUCGUAGAUGAAUCUGUUUUGUCUGGCAGUUUCAGAAUCUUGGAGCACUUUUUACAGUUUAUGAAUGGUGCACCACCAGCUACAGGGUGGACUAAGCGAGAACAACCUGAAGAUGAUGCAGCUUUAGAGAGGCGGACACGAGAUAUAGCAUUCUUUAACGCGUCCACAAGUUCAUUGGGACCACGAGAUUGAGAAGCAGGAGGGUGAGGAGGUAUAAAGGCUCUAGGACUAUCCAAUGGAGAAGGAAACGCAUUGCUUCUCUCGUAAGGGUAGAAACCGAUGUUAUGAAGAGCAUCAGGGAGCCCUGAGGGAGGAUAAACUGAGCCUGAAGCUCUAUGGUAUGGAUCAUAGCAGUGUGAACAAGAGCAAGUUGAGUGGUGAAGCAUCAUUCCAUUUCUCUGGUGUGUGUUAAACAAAUCAUGACCGUUGUUGCUAGUAUACUGUCUAGAGUAGUGGUGAUGAGUUUGAUGGUAAUAAGGACCUGCAAGGUGUUUACCAGAGCUUGGAAACCGCAGUGGAGGCUUUUUGGAUGACCUUGGGAUCUGUUGCUCUUUAGGUUGAUGAAGCUGUUCUUUUAGCUUAUCCAAUUUUUUCACCAGCUCAGCUCUGUCUUGCUGGAUCGCUUCAUCACUAGACACAGAAUCUUGAAAGUAGUUAGGAGCAGAGAAUCUGAACGACCGAUCCAAACCAGGUUGAGAACCGCUAACAACAUUCAGUUUUGAACAAGGAACAUCUGUUUGACCAGUUUGGUUGUGUCUUGAUGAAUCAUCAUCUGAAUCAGAUUCUUCUUCGCUUGAACAAGAGUUAACUUCAGUUUCUUUAAGUCUGGUUUUCACUGACUUGUCCGGGGCUGGAUCUGCUUCACUGUCCUUCUUUUUGGCUUUACAUAGAAAAAAAAUAAAAAAACUAUCAGUAAUCUUCAGUUCUUCAUCUAAAAGAGAAGAUUGUAAAACAAGAAACUAACCGCAAAGAACGGUUCCACAACCACCGCACUGGAAGAAGGAACAGUCUCUAGGCUCUGGUAAGAGAUUCUUGCACUUUGGACAACGAACUAGCUUCACUUCUAUCGUAGACUCGGCCAUUAGUUAAAACACUGAGCUGAGAAGAGAAAUACUCAACAAACAAUAUAAGAAGAAAGACCAAAGAAGACUGCUUCUUCUUGAAGCAAAGACAGAGAGGUGAAGUUUUUCUUUUUGCUUUUUCUUUAGUGAGCUUUGUUAGGUCUCUAGAGAGAUGAGGAAGGUGGAAUCUGUGAAGAACCUUAUGGUUCUAUUCGUUACUCUUUCACCUAAAACCUUCAUUUUCCCCCACAAAAGUAAAUUUGAAGAAGAGUAAGUCAGAGAGAUAGAGAGAGACAGGCUCUGCAGACUGUAGUUUCUUUCCUUAGACCUUUACACAGGCAGCAGUAAGCAACAGAACCGAAGAAUUAAAACAGCUUAAUGAUUUUGCUCUUUGCUCUUUAGGAGAAACGGUUUAAAAGAAUUUAAAGGUUUAGUUAGGCUUUGAUGGUUAUGUCAAAAGUCCAUAUUUCAUAUUUGGUUCUUUUUUCCACACAUUAAAGAAAACGACUGAUAAAGUGAACUCAUAAUCGAUUUAUUAUGGGCGGGACAGUCUACAAAGUGGGCCAUUUCUUCAUUUUCUGUUUCUUCUUUAUUUUUGAAAUCGCCAAGGAAUAAAUUUAAAGAUUAUUUUUGCUUUUUAAACUUUUUUGUUGGAAAUCCGGAAAUUUUCUUAUUACUGCUAAAAUUUGCAAAUUAAUAUUUUACUUAACAAUAAAAAAUUUCAUUAUAUAUUUAGAUAAUUAGUAAAAUACAGUUGGAAUAUAGUACUAGUAUGUAAGUUGAGCUCACAAAAUAUCAAAGAGGGAGAAAUGGUCAAAAGCUAAAGCUGGUUUUGAGACAAUAAAGAAAACAUUAAAUUGAUGAAGUGAGUAGUUAAAUGUCUAUUUCUCAUUUAAUUUUCUAAUUCACUUGUACUGAUUUUGAUUUUUUUGUAUAUAUUUUCAUCAUGUACUUGACUUUUGAAGACCUUACUGCAUUUUUAUUGAAUGUUUCAAUAUCUUUUUGUUAAAUAAACAAACCGUGUGAACUUUCUAUCUAACAUUUUUAACUUUUGAAAAAAAGAGAGAGUUACAGUUAGUAAAAUUUCAAAAGAUUGAAGGAGGGAGAGGAACCAAACUUAUUCCAAUUCAUUUGAGACAACGAAAAAAAAACAAAUUAAAGCAGGAAAAAAAAACAGAUAUGGUCGAAGGAUAUAUAUCCUACAUAGGAAUAAGAUUUAAAGUACAAAACUAAAGGUAAAGCAAACUAUCUUUUACAGUUUCGAACUCACUUCGAAUCAAUCAAUCAAAUUUGUUGUUGAAAAAAAAAAUUGUUAUUGAACUAGGAAAUUUCCAACACUGAAUAUGGGCCUAUAUGGGCUCAUUCGUAAUCUUCACGACCUGUAUUGUAUUACGCAAUAGGUAAAUAGCCGAGGUGAAGCUCGGGCCAUUACCUUGAUGGCUUGAUUAAUCCCAGAUAUCUCUAAACUACGUAUGAAGUGGUCAAUAAAGAGAACCAUGUGAUUUUUCUUCAGAAAAUCUUUAGAACAAUUUUUUUCAUAACAUAAACAGGUUAAAAAAAAAGAAGAAUUUUUUUUGUCACAUUUUAAUUAGUCAAAGUAGUUCUAAAAAUGCAACCAGGCAACAUUAUCUUCUUGAUUUCUUUCUUAAUUUCGUAAUUCUUCUUUCUAUUCCACCAAGAUUUCCUCCGUUGACUAGAACUUGUGAUCGUCUUAGAAGAAGCAUAUGCAUUGUUGUUGUCUUUAUCUUUUGCCAUCACAGCUUGUAGACUCAAACGGGGCGGCCGAACGUGAGCUGGAGAGAAAGGCAGCAGUUUGCGUUCGAUGAUGUGAGCAAAAGAGGCGAGCUCGUAAGAAUCGUAGAGUGGACUCUCACAGUCCCAUAUUUUGUGAGCACGACCAUCAGUUAAUACUGUGUUUUGUGAGUUAUAGGUUCUUCCAUGGAGUUGUGUGUUUGACAUAACUGAAAGACUUGAGAGUUUCUUCGCUAUCUUAUUUUCUGACAGCAACAAAUAAACUAUAGCUUUGUCUGAGUUGUGUCUCGGUCGAAGUGUGUUGUUUAUAUAAGGAUUGAAAAUCUGAGCUGGCUAGAUAGAAUUUUGUGGGUUGAGUGUGUGUUUUUACGUAGUAAUAAAUUGUGAGGCGGUUCUAUUAUUUACUUAAUACCAUUCGGUACUCGACGUAGCGAUAUGUGUAUAUGUGUAUGUGCUGCAUGCUGGUAUGUGAACGUUCCUGUACAAUUAAUAAUUUCCAGCUAUCAUUUUACAAAUAGAGGAAAAAGAUCUAAAUAUGCCACAUUCCAAAAUUGAUACUUCCAUUUGUAUUAUUGUGGAUUCUUUUCUAAAAAAAUAUAAUUAUUUUUCCUAAAUGAAAAGAUAUGGUACGCUUUAUUAUUAUUUAUCAUCUAUUUUGUUCAUGAGAACUUAAUGUGCCAAAGAGUAAAUAGUUUGGUGUGGGGAAAAAAAAGAGGGCAUGCAUGAACCUGGGUGUGUUGUAUAUAUGCUGUCCAAUGAAAAAGCGAUAAGGCAUAAGAUAUUCAUCAUCUUAUUUUGGAAAAAAAUAUAUUCAUCAUCAUAUUAUCGUAUAAAGCAGAAAAGAAAAAGAAACACAUGUGUAAUAUACUAAUAUAUAUGAAAAUAACUUAUUUACCAGUUUAUCAUUUUAAAAUAUCGUCACAUUUUUUUUAUGAUCGGAGAAAGUUCCAGCUGCAACUUUUUUACUGCUUGAAUCAACGUAGUUUGGUUGUCGCAUUUUUAUUAUAUUUAAGAUUAUAACUGUUUGAUGAGUGUUUUGAUUUGAAAUAUACAGUUAGGAAU
rnacentral:lncRNA from 1 species